rnacentral:lncRNA from 1 species
ACUACUGCCUUCAAGUCUGCUCUUCCUGUCUUUGAUUCUGAUUCUACUCUAUUUACUACUAUCUGAGAAGUUUGACUCUAUUUACUACUAUACUAGAGCUAGCAAUACCUUAACAAGUACGGGCAAGGCGGGUAUUACUAUAGUGAGAAUGAAAUUCCAAUAGGUAGGAUGAAACCACUGAUUGAAAGAAUAAACACCGAUAACAAGACAACAGCCUUCAAGUCAGAACUAUACUAAUAUAAAUGACUUUUCUCCUCCCCCGUCGGAAUAGACUAGUGCACAACCCCCCGAGUCAGAAUCGAAUCUUACCCGACAACAUUCAACUAACUACUCCCCAACCCGAGGUCUGUAACAAGGGAUUGCACCACAGCUAGCAAGGCUAUAGGCUUACACAAUACGCUAAUAGAGGGAACGGAGCCCCAACUUGAUCAAAGCUGUCCUUCCUUUCUCCUAUUCUCUGUACUACUCUUUGUAUUCUUUAUUUCACUCAGAAUUCUUCUACUAAUUACCUAGAACCCUGCUUCACUCAACUAUAACCUGGCUCGUGAGUUUAGGUAUUCCCCUCCUUGCUGUUAGCCAGCCUCUCCUUUAUCUAGUUCUUCACUACUAAGAGCUAUUGUAUAAGAAUAAGUCAAUCAAUGCUAUUACACAUAAGAAGAAGUAUCUCGAUGGCGCAUCCCUCUUUUCUGGAAUUCUGAGAUCAAUAUCUCCAUUCUCCAUAUCUCUAUUACCUCUUUGACUCUCUGUUUCACCUCGGAUUCUUUGCCUACUGGGCGUAACCCUUACUGCUAUGGGGAGUGGAUCUGACUUUAAGUAAUGCUAACGAUACUUGCACUGGAAACUGGGGCUUCUCAUAACCAACCUCAAAACAGGCAAUCCACAGCUAAUACCAUUGGAACUAAGCUCGCUAGCCAUAUUCUUUCAACCAUGUUCUUUAAACACAUAUCUAUUGGCCGCGUAACAUUAGGUCUCUUCACUUGUGGGUUUGUCUCCCUUUACUGGUACUAUAAUAAGGCUUCUUUCACUCUGUCCUUCCCGACUACUGGUCUAAUUAUCCUGUCUCUAUUUCAGUUACUGCCGGUACUUACUUUAGAUCCUGACUAUUAUAAGUAUACAGCUACUUGCUCUAAACUGUUCUUUCUUGAUGACAGUCUGAUUCCACUAUUCCGAACUCCCUCUUAAGGGAUUCAACUAAUUCACAAAGAGACUAUCCUAAAGGCAUCUAGAAAGCUGCCCUCGCUGAAGCUUAUUAUUCUUCUGGUUGGGCCUGUAGCACUCCCUUCCGGUAAGGGUUUAGCGCUUAACCAACUUGGACCCCAUAGAAAAGCGAGUAAUCAAUAAGAUAAGUUAGGCAAUAGCAUCAGUAGAAUCAGGAUAGGUAGGCAAUAAGUAGAAUAAGGAGAAAUAGGCAAUAAACCGCUAAUCGAUAUGAUAUAAAAUAACGUUUACAACAAAUACAUAAUGAGUAGGGCCAUUAGGAUACUUUCACUAGUACCGAUAAGAAUUAGAGGCGUUUAAGUUCAAUACGGAUUGAGAUGUCAGUAGUGGAAGUCCUGUUUCCUGUAUCGCUAUGGGUUUACUUGCUCUCGUUCUUACUGCUGUAUUUGAGUCUGAUAGCAAUGGUUCCCCCCUAUGGGUGGAGAGUACAAAAACGGAAGAAAAUCACUGGUAACAAGGUGCGAACUCAUACUAAAAGGAUGCAACGGGAACUCCAGCUACUACCGAUAAGACCUUAGCUCACAACUAGGGCUUGCACGACCUAUUUAAAGAAUGGAACGGAGAACUAGGGCGGUACCUCUAAGAAAGUAACUACAACAAAAAAGGAUUGAGCACAGAACUAAGGCUUUGACUCCUGUGUGGGACAUACGGAUCUUUUGACCGUAUCUUAUGGCCUGUGACUCCUUGCUAUGACUCUUGCCCCUCUGACUUGUAUUCUCCUAUAAUUACUGAUCCUUACUUGUAUUCUGUAGUUCGAGUUAGGGUCUUGCCUCUCCCUAUGAACUGAAAGUAUUGCUUGUGAGUUUGAGUAUCCUAAUUGCCUACUUCAUUCAUUAUUCCGUUUAUUUAGAUUAAUGAUUAUGUUAACUUAUAUUGAGAUGUAUUGAUAUAUAUGGACAUGUAUUGAUAUGUGUUUUAUCGUACUGUAAUUCGAGCGAGGAGAGUCCACUAUAGCUCGACAGAAGGAGAGGAAAUCAAUCAAUAAGGGGUAGGGUUUAGUACCAUACGCCGGGUGUUGUUGUGCCAUAUACUAGGCGCGGGUUUCAAUCCAAUCAAUAGGUGUGUUGCGUGUAGCAAGGUAUAGUUUGGAAAUGCAAAAUCCCCGGGAAGGUAAGUUGAGAGGUAUAGCUUAGCUCGGGAAGGAGAGGUCUAGUUCGGGAAGGGGCAGACGGAUUUGCUAUGUUUUUCACAGGGGCUUAGUUCCCGCCCAAAAGCUUCAUUGUUAUAGUGGAAUCCAAUGUCAAAGUUGAGUUCAUUGCUAUGCUAGAUGUCGGAUGUAAAGAAUAAUAGUAAUGUCAAGAAGAAUAGUACGUAGACGGGCGAAGGCGAUCGAUCCUAGAGUGUGUUUGUAUUGUAUGCCAUACCUAGCCUAGGGUUUCAAUCAAUGUUUCUUCAAUCAAUGUUUCAAUCACCAUACUCUGGUGAAAAUCCAUAGGUGUGUGUUGCCCCGGAGAGUCCUUAGAGUGUUUUUACUUGCUUCUGUCUUUUCUCAUGAUAAUACGGAUGCACAUACUAGGUUAGUUGGCAAAGAAAUCAAUCAAAAGAUGUAGGGAGCGUUGGUAAAGAAGGAGCUCAUGUCCACUUUAUAGCAAUGGUAGGCGAGAAGGAGCACGUACUAUAUACUCUAAGGUUGGUUCAAGUAUAACUAUACUAUAGGUUGGUUCGAGUGAAGUCAAUUCGGAUUUAGUGCCUAGAUUCAUAUUCUCUCUCAUGUGUUUCUAUGCUUAUCUAUUAUAUUAUAUUACAUAUGUUUCUAUGCUUAUCCAUUCCAUAUGUGUUUCUAUGCUUAUCUAUUAUCUUAUUCUAUGCUUAUCUAUUAUCUUAUAUAUUAAUACAACCAAGAUGUAGUAUAUUUGGUGCAAGCAUUCAUUUCUUUUCGCCUAUCUAUUAUAUCUUAUUUUUUCUCACACUUUUGUAUCUUUUUCUCUUGUCUCUUCAUUCUAUAUUAGUAGGGUAAAUUAUAGUCGCAUUCCUGUUAGCACUAAUUGAGUUCUGACUUUUGCCCCAGCAACUGAGACGGAUCCUCACUUAUGGUAUAGGCGUUAGGGUGUGAAAGUAAAGGCUUUCAAUUGAUUCUAAGCUCGAGUAGAGGUCCUCAAUGAUCUAUUUCCCAUAAAACCCCGUAAGUGCCGUUCUAGUUCAUUUGACACUAAUCACUAGUAAGCAUCAGAAUCAACAACACUACCAGACCAGUGAGCAUAGGGCUAGGAACCUAGACUAAGCAUGGUAACCCAGGGACGCCUACGGUAAUGAAAGCAAGCAAUGGAGGCUGACAAACUCUGAUCCGAAUCCGGUUUUCAAAUAACAAUACAGAGAAGAAAAGCAAGGUAGGUAAGACCUCUAGGACGGAUAGUUAGAUUUAGAUGAGUACACCACUCGCAUUACAGCAGUAGAGGUAGCUUAGGUAAGACAGAGCAGGCUUCUAAAUAGGAUAGUAAGAACGAGAGCUAACAAAGCAAAGAUCCGGUUCGUUCAGUAACAAAGGGCAGGCUCGGGGUAAGACUUAGUCCAUUGUUUCAUUCUUCCCAGUCGUCUCGUAGGGUAGGUAUUGCUAGCCUCUUAUAUGCAUAGAGUCGUUUCUUGCUUUUAAGACAGUGAUUUCAGUCUUCUAGUUUACAGUUACAUUCUCUCUUCCCGGUUUAGUUAUUAGAGAUAGUAGUUAUCAUUCCAAGGUAGUAAGUGAAAGUGCUAGUUCCUAGGUUCCGUUUUGCUAAGCUCUGGUUCCAUCCUAAUUAGAUUAGUCAUGGCAUCAAUCAGUCUUAUUGCUAGUAGGGCGGGCUGGCUCAUUCUCCGGGCGGUAAGGAUGAGAUCAAGUCAUAGUAUCCUAUUAUUACUAUACAGCAAAAGCAAAAGUCAUUGAAGUAAUAGUGCCCGGGGGUCUGCUAACAGAAUUCGUUAUUCCAUUUUCAUAAUUAGUACUUUGCCGAUGUCCGGAAGAUCACCAAUGCAAUGCGUGAACGAUGUUGUCCGAAGACUAAUUGGUUGCACUUUCAGAAUGAGUGACUAGGGUACCAAUUGAAGACCGGCCAAGGAACGGAUAGACAAGCAAGUCGGAAGUCAACUCCUCUUAUGUAUGGUCCACAGCACUCCUUACGCGAGAUCACCUUUAGUUAGUGAGUAAGCAGUGAUUCUAUUGUUUCUGAUCUGAUCCUUCGACUUAUGAGUCUUCUUCCUCAAACUAACCAAGCAACGUAUAAAAAGGCAAAGAGCGGUCACUAAACAAAUAGGGAGUCUAAGGUUUCCUGUAAGAAUUGAACUCAGUAUUGACGGUCUAAGAAUAUUCUUAAGGGCCUGUACUAUACUUCUUUCCCAGAACUAUCCUUUCUUUUCCUUUCCUUCCCACAACAAGUAACGAAUACAGGGUGGGGCUUCUAACGCUCUGUAGAGGGUAAAGGAAAAUCCGUUAAUGGAACUUUAGCUGAUGGACUUGUUUCUUAUACCGAGUAAACAAAUCAUUCAAUCUUUCCAGCACCAGGUAUGGAUCCUAAGUAAAGACAUAGCUUGUGAACCCUUUCGCCCGGCAGUAGAUCCCCAAAACUUGACUUGUGAAAGGGCUCGUUAACGCUUCUGCAGUUUCUCAUUCAACAUUCUAUUCAGAACUGAUGCUUGCCCACUUGCUAUGUUUUUAAGAAUUCAGUUAGAUGAGCCAGAGGCUGAGGAGAAAGAGGUGUAGUUAGACGAAAUUAGGACUCACAAGAUAAGCACUUGGUUAUGACCAGUUAUUAUGUACUUAUGUUUCUUAACGUAAGAAUAGAUUUCUGACUUGCUAUGUGCUCGGGAGUAAGAGAAGAGGAUAAAGAAUAUAGAUCCGGUAAAGGCAUAAGUACUGAGAGUGGGAGUCUAGGUAUAAUCCUUAAGAGGUGGGCAAAAGGGAGACAAUAAACUCUCUAUCGGGGUAAAGUACUGGCUUUGAAGCGCAAAGUAUAGUUCUUGUUUCAUCUUAUAAGGAAGAUCCGACAGAAUGCUUAGGUGCAAGUAAGAGGUCAGGGCAGACUAUUGGCUAUUGAAGCGCAACAAAGUGUGGUUCCUGUGUUACCGACAAUAGAGAUUAUACCAAGAACAUGAAGUAUGGACUUGUUAGUUAGGGAACGAAGUUGAUAUUCCUACGAGUUACUAAGUUGAAGACAGUCAUAAGCAAGUCCUGUGUUCAGAGGAAAGAACCAAAUAGGGCACACAAGAGGUCAAUUUCUCUUCUUUGAAGCUCAGACACUGUUAGCCCUUCCUUUUUCCCUAUAGAUGGUCAAGGUAGUAGCUUCAGUAACAGCUCUUGCACCCGGGAAUAGGCAAGGAGUAUGCCCACAGCGAAUCGAACGUAUAUGUUAUCUUCCAAAUCCUAAAAUGAGGUAAGAAGAGGGGAAAGCCCUAUUAAUAUACUUACUGCUGCAAGUCCUUUCGUCGUCGCCCUCGCCAACCCUAGUGCAACUAAAAAGCAAGAAUUGACCUCUAUAUAGCUAACCUAGUGCUGUUUCUCUAAAGUGAGAAUUCCACUCCCCCUCGCCAACCCAGUGCUUUUAGAUGAAAGUGAGAAUUCCACUCUAAAGUAGGAAACUUGUACACAGAAGAAUGACAGUAAAAAGGUUUGAAUUGAAAUUAGCCAGAAGUAUAAUAGAAGCAGAGCGGGUAAGAGGUAUAAUAGAAGCAGAGCGGGUAACUCACCAGAAGAGGGUAACUGCGCUCUCCACUCUUAAGUGUGAAUUGAAUGGAACUCCGCGUAGUAAGAAAUAGAGGAAUUCGGCAGGUCUGAUAGAUCUUAGUAACACUUAUGUGCCCUUUCUAGCCGUGCCCCCUUCAUUGAAUAAUAGAAUGAACUUCACUACGCCCCCCAACGCCUCAUUUUGUAAUAGAAGAAGUCCGCUGGAAAUAAAGAAUGAACCUUGAAAGUAAGAGUAGAGGAAUGAGGUUGGUUUCAGCUUUCAAGUAAUAAGAACAGGUACGGUACGAUAUAGCGUAUUAGGAGAUAUACUCUGAAUAUCAAGUCGUAUACAAAGAAUGGGUAUUAUAUAGUGCAUUAAGUAUGAAGUAAUAGAAUUAGUAACUACAAAAGUAAGGGCUCUUUCUAUCUCACCAACCCGACAAGCUAAUACUAGCUCUAAAGUCAGAAUGAAACGAACAAGUAGGAAAGGAAUCAGGUAACUCCUGCACUGUAAGAAAGGAAUCAGGUGAACUCCUAGUGGUGCUCUUAACCAACUAGCUAGUAGUGCUCUCAACUACAAAGGCAUCAUUCCACUCAAAGCAAAGAAUUCCACCAUGCCUACCUAGUGCUCUGAACCUACCUAGUGCUAUGUGCUCUUAAGAAGGAAAGGAAGCUAUUUUGUCUAUCUUUUCUCAUGCUCCGGUUAAGGUAAAGCUACAACCAAAUCAGAGGAGAGGCCUGGCGUUGAAGAAUGAGGUUACGGUGAUUGAUUGAUUGGCAAACAAAGCAAUAAGUGAAAAGGGUGUUGAGCCCGCUAAGUACUUUCAAUCAGGGGCCAGCAGUGGAUUCCAUUACAGUUUUCGGCGAUAGUUAGUUUGAAGCGCAAAGUCAAUCAGUAUAGUAUGUAUCUUUGGGUGCUCAGUGUUCAUAAAGUUAUGUUCGAGUGUUGUCUACUGGAUCGCAUGCUGUGCUUUGAAAUGAUGUUCUAAAGUGAAGUUGCCAGUUCCUGUGCGAGUGAUAGUCUUCAGACCGAGGGGGAUAGUUUACAGUAUAGGUCUGUUAUUCAAGUGUAGUUCAAGGUUCAGUUUCAAGUGCUCCAAGUGGGUUAUCAGAAAGUGACGUGAAAUUGUCUAGUAGUAGCUUGGCGGGUUGUGUUGUUUACUUACAUGUUAUGGUAGGGUGAUUUACUUACUUGUUGAAUGAAGUGACUAGGCUAGGAAGGCAGUUAGUAGUUAUGAAGUCUGUUACUAGGCAAGGGUAGUUUACUGACUUGGCCGGUAUUAAACAAGAACUCGAACAGGAACAGAAAGGUAGAAAACUCUCGAGUAAGAAGAACACCGGAAGGUGGAAAACAGAAUACUUAUAUAUCUGCGGAGCUAUCAGACAAGCUACCACGGAAGGUAUAAAACAACAGAAUCAAACCGGAACUAAUUGAGAGAAAGAGAACUCCUCUGCUUUGCCCUCUUCAGCCUUACCUUCACUUUCAUGCUUGGAUCACUACUAGCCAAGUAUAUACUAGACUCGUACAUAAAUAGGUUAUAACUCGGCAAGAGCAAGUCUGAAUUAAUAGCUAAAGUAAGCUUACACGUCGGUUAAGGCAGUGGCCCCAACAAGUAACUACUAGAGCGAGAAACUGCUUUAAUAGAAGUAAGGCUCGGAGCCCCAACAAAUCAGAAUUCAACUAGAUAGGAUGAAACAAUAGAAGCCUAACUAUCCAUGCGCUAGAGAAAGAAGCGGGCCUCGGGUAUUGGUCACAUCUUCAGGAGUCUUGCCCACUUAUAUAUAUACUAAAUCAACGAGCUUCUUGAUACGGUCCCCACUUUCUCUGUUGUUUUAACCUAUGUGAAACAGAGCGUAUGUCAUAUGGCCUCUUACUUAAGCUAGCAUAAGUCUCUUCAAUUUCAUUUCGCGUUAAUUCCACCCUUGUUAAUCCUAAACCAUUAGCUUUUCAUUUGCCUUACAUCAAGCUAUGUUGUACAAGAAUAGCUAACCAAUUCGAAAACUGUACGAACCUGGAAGGAGCGUCGAGCGGUUGCCGCAUCAAUAGAGUUCAUAUAGCUUAUAACUUCGGGCUUCAUAAGAACAUAUUCAAUCGUUCCUUAUCACUUGACUAUCCGCCUUGUCCCACAACUCGUAAGGUAAGCAAACCAAGGAACUCCUAAAGUUGUUCGUAAAGUGUUUCUCGGGAGUUUCUCCCUUAUGUAUCUUUCUGCUCAUAUACAGUUUAUGGUCGUAUUCUCAUAUGAUGGCGUUGAGAAUCUUCGCCCCGAGUUCUAGCCCAUCAAGACAGGAAGAGAAGGCAUUCGUCAUCGGCUUCCCUGAGUGUUUAGUCGGGCAUACUGUCUUAGGUAAAGGGGUAGGGUCAAGUUUACCGAGUCGGGGGGGUGGAAUCCAAUCUGAUUUCUCUCUCCGCGGGCUCAGUUAGUUUUCAAAUGAGUGGUUAUUAUCUAUCAAAGAGCGAAAUUGGAAAUAGCUAAAAAAGGUAGUCUAUAAGGAGGGUCUCAUGGUUUAGAUAAGCAAAGAGACUCAAUUAUGUGUAAUCUCUCUGUCAGCGCUUGUUUCGACCGCUAUCCCUUAGUGUUGCUGGGCUAACUUAAGUCUGAAAAGUAGGACUCGCAAGUGCAUUCAGUUAAUUAACUAAGGAAAGCUCUAGGCUAGGUCGCAGAAGAAGGGAUAUCCGCCUAGAAUCGCUUGGUAGUCUCCCCUCUCAUGAAAUUGUUAACCCUAGACUGCUCAUAGUAUCCAACUCGAAUGGUAGUAUUUCGAACUACUCGCAUCUAAGGUCAACCCCUCGACACCAAUAUGACAAACCUAUGAUCUUAGCGCCACGACAGCAGCUACUCAAGUUCGAAUCUAAUGAUACAGGUGCCCCGUUAGUUUCCAUCACUCUCUCACCCCCGAAUGAACAAUACAAUACUAUUGGCUUUCGCCCUUCAGGUUGCUUCUGCUUGAGAUGUCCGAUUAGAGUGAUACGUAAAUUCUGGUUUCUUGAGCUGGUCUUGGGUAAAGCCAAUCAAUCAACCCCUACGGCAAGCGCCUCAUCUUCGCCACCGAGCUUAUUUGCGUCGUUUUGUGCCUCAUUUUCGAGUCACUCAAAUCCUUAAUGUCGUUGCUUUUAACUGACUGAUGGAAUUAUGGAACAAGCAAAUCCUUUCUAGAAGCAAACGCCAACAUGAAACCUUACUCCACCAGUGGAAGCAGGACGGACAAUCUGUUUAGUUAGCCAUAUAAUCCUUCAGUGCACGUCCUUUUACAUUGCUAAAGGCUCUAGGCGGAGUAGCAGGAACAAGAUGUAAUUAGUUAUGAGCCCAAACGAUGGAUUCCAUGAAUUCUUGCCAAUAACACCACGGCUACGGAAUAGAAUCAUGAUACACCCAGACAAAACACCUAAGAGAAAACACAAGAUGCAGAUAAUGAUCAAAACCAUAAGCCCGCUAGACAAGAUGCAGAUAAAGAUGGGAACAAUAAGACGCUAGAUGCCAAUGCCCAUAAUCAAUCUCGGAGCCCACCCCUAUAUAAGAAAUCGAAUAGCCUAUAUAAGAAAUCGAAUAGUCAUUUCACUCAUAGCAAAGUUUCCUCCUGUAAUAAUGGUGACUACUCCUUUAGCACUUAUUCCACCCCUAAACAUCCGACUGCAUUUGACAACUCGAAUGGAAAAUCAAUCACUACCCGAAAUCGCAGAGUACAUCCAUAAUCAACCUAAGAAGACAUGAUUCCAGGCAGAUACUUGACAUGUCGCCCAAUCACAAGGAAAACGAAACCAUAGAUUAGCAUUCUGUUGUCACCCGGAGCUUUUAUGCUGCGCAAUAGGGUGUUUUUACCCAUUGAGCUAUGCAGAGGGUAUAGCGGUCUCAGAAAACAUAUCUUGGGGCCGCCCUCAAGCGCUCGCGGUACGUGGUAUAAUUAUGAAUAUACGAUAUAUACGAUCCAAAACAGCCCUCUCUCAAUACAUGCCAUAUGAUUGAUUGCCUCGCGGUGUCUAAGUACACGUGAUCUAAUAUCUUAUUGUAUCGAGAAUAGUAGUAUCAGAGUAUCUUUACCAUGAAAAUGAAUGCAUGUGCAUCAGCACCAACUAUGAGAAACCCACCGAUCCACAUGUAAUGUGUGAACAACGAUGGUUACCCUAGUUAAUUGCUAUGAUUGCUAUGUAUGUAUAGGUAUGGUUACCCUAGUUAAUUGCUAUGAUUGUAUAGGUGGGGAUGUCAUACAUAUAGUGAGCUACAAUACAAUCUUUCUUAUUUAAAAGAGCCUAACAUAGCCAAGUCAGGUUAAGAGAGAAUUGAGCAUGCCACCCGCGUUGUUAGGAUUGAAGAGAGAGAAAGAAUGGAGUCCUUUAUAGCCCUGGCCUGUAAAUGGACCUUUAUGAGCCUAUAGUCUUUAAGGCCAUGACAAUGCCCCAGCCCCAGCCCUGUUGGUUCUAUACGCGAUCAGGAAAAGAAUAGCAAUAGCUAAUAAGGUGUGAUCAAUAGCCAUAGCUAAUCCAUAGCAAAUAAGGAAGGUGUGCAACAUCGGUCAGCCAUAGACCACCUCACCAGUUCUUUUGUUAUUGGAUCCAAUCCUCCACGAAAAGAUGGAUUUGGUGUCCCGCCCAAGAAGGAUACCUUCGUCCUAGUAACCCCUGCAAAGAAAGUCGUUCUUUUCUUUUACAUUGCCAGCAAAGUAUCGAGUGCAUGCAAAAUCAAUAUCUUACCAACGAUGGCACUAUUAUAUACUAAGGAUGUUUUCGUUUACCUUCUACUUCCUUGGUGAACUUGGUGCCAUAUUACUUCCACAGGUGUAUCGAUAGGGUAACCUUCUUUCCAUGGAUAACAUAUUCCGGAUCUCUUAUAAUUAGCUUGUGAAACAACCGGAACUGCUUAGUUUGACUUCGAUGCCAAAGAAAUAAGUAAUUAGGACCAAAGUCUCUGUUAUCUCGAACGAAUUCUCCAUUGCUGUAUUAUUUCCAUUCUGGAAUCAUGGUGGGGCCUGUCCGAAUCAAAUAAUAGAAAGAGAAAGGCAUACCAACAAGAUAUCGCCAUGAGAGUUUGUUUGAAUAUAGAGAGCGCGAGCCAGCCCUCUUGAACCAUUAGAAAGGGUGCUUCAUAGACAACAUGAAUAAUCAAACGGGGGGUCGAUGUUCUAUGUUCUAUAUAGAGACCUCUUUCUCGUCUUCAAUAAAUCCAUUAAGAAAUGCCGAUUUGACAUCCAUCUGUCCAAUUUCCCAUUUCCAUUUGAGCUGUGACUCAGGGGAGAUUAGCAAUCUAACUCUUUCCAAUCGAGCUACUGGUGCGAAUACUUCCUCAUAGUAUAUCCCAUUCACUUUUCUACCUUUUCAACCCAUCGGGCCUUGCUCCACCUCUACUUCUUUGUCCGUGUCUUUAUACUAUACUGGAUUUUCUAAUGAAAGCUCAUCAUCAUCAUUAGUAUCCCUCCCUCCUUCCUUCGAGUCACCCCUUUAAGAUGUAGAAUGCAUAGAGAAUUAUAUAGAAAUCAAAUAAUCAUAUAUGGUUGGUUUCAUUGAAAUAGUAUAACUUCUUGUGCUUAUUGUAAUUUCACUUAUUGAAUGAUGGUUACGUCAACCCCAGCUGAUCUAGGUGAUGAUUCAGGUGCUCUGAAUUACGAAUUCUUUUGACAAUGUAAAGGAGAGUCCAUCAGUCCGUCCGGCCUUAGUCAUUCUAUCAGAUACUCCAUUUGGUUGGGGCGUGUAUGUCAUGGUUCAUUUCAGUAUGAUUCUAGAUUCUCUUUCCAAAGAACUUUCAAAUGCAAUCAAUUGAUGUUUAUUCACGACCCUUAUCUGUUCUUAAGCAUUUUUUCCUACCUUUGUAUUUUCACCAAGUUCAUUCAUUCCUGACAUUUACUUUACUUAGAACUUAUUAGCUUGCAUUUCCUUAAGUAAACCUCAGUUUGACCACUAUGAUCAUUAGUAAAGGUAAUAAACUACCUGCUUCUGGAAAGUGAUAUUGGACUGUGAUAAGGUUACAAACAUCUGAGUGCACCAGAUCGAGUCGAUCGAUGCCAUGCUCUUUUUCUGCUUUUCUUCUUUAAGGGCUUCCUUUCUUGUUUGCUCAUGACACACACUUCCUUCACAUGACUUUGUUGGAUCAGUAGGUGCGAAGAAAGUCAAUUAUACUAAAUAACAAGUGGAAUCCUAUAGAUAUAGAGGUGUUCUGCAUUGGUUGAGUCUCAAGGAGAAAUGGAAGGCAGGGUAAAGCAACUCGCUUUAGAAUCUAAUAAAGGAAAGAUAAAGCUAGAGGAAAUCCUAUAGAAGAGUGACGAGAUCCGCUGCUACAUCGGGAAAGGAAUUGGAUCUAAUAUAUCGGAAAGGAACGAGCUGCUUUCCUCCUCUUUGAUUUCUUUCAACUCCGGCUAGGUUGUCUUAAAGACCUAGCGAAGAUAUGGAACAAGAUAGAGUGUGAGAUCCACAUAUUGGAAAAAACUCCUUUCCUUACCUGAUUUUAGGCCAGGCGCACAUACUAGUUCUCACUGUGGGACCGAACUGGAAAUGGUUAUGAUUCAUAAUAAGCUUCAAAACCCAUGCACACUUAUGUGCCGCCCGCCAUUGCCUAGCUCUAUACUCCGCUUUACUUCAGUGCUUUACAGUGACACUGUCUUAUUGCAUUGCACCAGGCCCGAACCAAGACUCAAGCCUGUAGUCGACCUUUCAUAUACCUAAAUCUUCGUAGCUUACAAAAUGUUGCUUCUUUCUUUGGCUUAUCGCUUACUAUACCUCAAUGGAGAUGGAUCUAAGGCCGUGUAAAAGUCAGAGAGAUUAGACUGCCCACUAGCUAUCUCACAGAUAUACAUGGUUUCAUCCGAAAGAAAGGGAUUGGCGCCGAGCUUUGUAAGGGAAAGGAAAGCGUCAGAUUGAUUGUUUGGCAGUAUUUGUUUCAUAGUAGUCCGAGAUUACAUGUCUUUUUGUUCACACUAUCUCCUGAUUUUCACCGGGCUAGAAAACAAACGAAAGUGGUAGGAUUGAUUAGAGACUUAUUUCAAAGCUCCACCACCCCAACCUUUAAGGAAUCCGUUUUUUGACCUCCCCCGCCCGCUUCAUUCGUUUACUCGGAUUUUCGAUGUUCAUUCACAAGGUGUUCAGAGAGAGAGAGGGGUUGCGUAGAAUAGACAUACGAAGCUAUUCCAAUUGGAUAACUUAUGGAACUUUCUCCACGUUGGAUGAGUGAAUACUCUUUGAAUACUAUGAUUAUUUCCUUCUUCUUUACUAUGUACUAUACCAUUAGUCUUGAAGAAGCUUUCCAAAUAGGAAACUCAAAAGGACCAACUAAGCCGGUAAGUUUGGACUGUACCCCCAAAGAAUGGGAUGAGGCUUAUGUCUUUAUUGCCGCCCCCGCUGCAACAAGAGGAAAAAGGCUGACAUGAUACAUAGAUUCAGAGUUAGCCCUUACCACUCUACAUGUCCCAUCCUCUUACCUUGCUUGCUCAUUCGAAAAACCACUUAACCAAAACCAAACCCUAUUGAUUGAUGCGGGGAGAUGAAGGGACUAGACAAGGAGCAUACGUAGCUGCAUCGAAGGACCAAGUAAUAGAGAAAUGCCCACCCCAUGGCUUAUGAGGUAGAUUCAUCUGGCCGGAGGACUAGCCAAUCAUGUAGGGAGACAGCCAGGUUCUUUAAACGUAGGCCGUAGAACGCUAUAUCACACCAAAGGAGACCUUUUUAUUGACCCACCUGCUCUAUCUAGAGUUUUUCCACAUCCAUCUAGAGUUCCUUUUCAUUGACCCACCUGCUCUAUCUAGAGUUCCUUUUCCCGGAUAGGCGUCUCACAUAGCUAUCUCUAGUUAGCUGCAAUCGCCUAGCUAGUAACCGAAGGAAGGAAAGAAGUUAAUGGCAUCCGUGGGUCGUUGCUUGGCCCUUUCUUAUUACAAUUGAAGCUGUCUUCAUGGCGGCAGGAGCUUCAUAAAUACCAGCCAGAGUUGCUGUAGUCAGUCAAGGGAAUCAGUCAGAAUAAUAAGUGAGGGUUUUUCACUGGGAAGAAAAGAUUCUAGGGAACCGGAUAAGAAACACAAAAGUCAGAGACAAGCAUAGGGUUACAAGCAACCUUGCCCUUUAAACCCUUAGACAGAAAGAAGUAAUCCCCUUUGCCACAUACGUUACGUGGCUUCCGGCCUAUUAGAGCUCUUUUCAACACACUAUUUCUAAUGCUAGAUCGAUCGGAUACCAUUACACUCACGAGGAUAAUCAAUCUUCUACUUUCUUUAGAAUACAGAGACUUUCUCAUUAGAGUUCACUGCGCUUGCUUACUCGAAAGAAUAAGGGGAGUGACUAUAAAGAACAGAAAAGUGCUGGCUGGUGUUAGAUCCCCUAUUUUGCUAUAGUCCGCCGGUUACGGCUUGCUUUUAUGAUCCUCAACCAAUAGGCUUACAACUUGACUCGCUUCUUACGUCAAUGGAACUUUCCACUUCUUUAAGCAUCUACCAGACUAUCCACUUGACUUGCCAAUUUCGUUAGCUAGUUCUUUAGCGUGUAAGGAGUGAAGCAUGAAUUGAGGUUUUUGCAUCUAGGGUAGGAGUCGACCAAAUCAGAAUUAAGCGCAGUGAACCUAGGAGCUGCGCAAGGAUAUUAGGCUCAAACGCAUUUAAAGGACAGAGCAGAGGACAGAAGAAAGAGGCGAAGGCAUCUGCUCAAGUAACUGUUAGCACAACUCACGAGACUUCUAUUUUCGAAGCUUGUUCCCCGAGAGCUUAUAGUGCACCUAUCUAUUCUAGAAAGAACUCACCUAUAACAUAGAAAGAACGAACCUAACUAACGCCCGAACACCUCUUCCUUUAGACUCCACCCAGUAGAAGUAGAACAAACAACGGCAAAGCAUUAAAAGAGUAAACAAGUCAUAAAUAGAGUUUUUCAAGCUAAAGAGAAGCCGUAAAGUCAACAGUUAGUUUCAGAGGAAUGGGGCUAUAAUCAAUUCAGAUUUAUGCGUUAUGUGCAGUGUUAGCUUACUGUGCUGUGCUUCUAGAAUCAUGUGUGUGUGUGCACUAUUCUAUAUAUAGUCAAUAAGCUACUCCGGGUGUGCUAUAGUCAAUAAGCUACUCCGGGUGUGCCUAUCCUCUAUUCAGUAGAGAACAAGAGCAACGGUGUAAGCAACCCGCUAAGCGCUAAGAGAGUUUGCCGGCAAAGUAUCCAUCUUUUUUCACUGUUCCCUCCAUUCUCUUAUUCUCUCAUAGUUUCAGUAUAGUUUCAGAGUUAGCAUUCUCUUAUAUUCUUCUUUUCUUUUAGAAGUUUCAGAGUUAGCAUUCUCUUAUAUUCUUUAUAGUUUAGAGUUAGCAUAAGCAUUCUCUUAUUCUCUCAUUGUUUAGAGUUAGGUAGAGCCAGCAGUAGCAGUAAUAAGUGUUUAGUUACUAGAUUCUAUAUGAGUCACGCUAGAUAUUGGUCAUGCUAGAUUCAAUGAUUUCUUUCGAGUGGAGGGGCAAGUUAGCUCACUUUUCUCUUGGGGCGCGCCAGACAAUAAGUUUCGUUACCAACCCUUACCUUACCUCACAGAACCGCGAAAACGGAUAGUUCGGGAUGCGUCGGGUUACUCUCAGAGCUUGCUCUUGCGCAGGUUUGAGUAUGGUUUCCAAUAUACUUGACUAGUUUUUCAUCAUCAAUCUCAUGCUCAUCUCUAUUCUCUACUGCCCACUCAACUCGAGAAUCCGCCGAUGCAGGAUCUUUAUAGUUCUAAUCAAACUAAUGCUCAUCUCUAUCACUCCAAUUGUUGGAUGAUUCGAAAGGUACGUCCGAGUUUUCUUCUUAGCAGAUGGGGAUCGAAGAUCUAACUAUGAGUUAUGAUGAUGAUAGUUUCUUUUAAAGUUCCAUGACUUUGAUGAAACUCCUCAUUAGCAAAGAUUCGAUUUCCGCUAAGGAUUCUCUAUAGCAGAAGAGGCUUCUAUCCGAAUCAUCUUUCUCAAACCAAACCUUAAUCCGUUAGGUCAAUAUACGCUGGAGGCUCUCAUUAUUCAUUUACUAGGUUCGGUGUUCCACUGUGUACGUGACUUACCAGUAGUGAGGGUGUCUACUUUGAUCGAACAGCAUUCUUAUACUCUACAGUCAGAGUUCAAGCAGGAAUCAAUAAAGCUUUAGUUAAGCAUUCCGUGAAGUUCUCUUUCGAUAAGUUACUAGGAAAAAUGAUGCUAUUUAGUUUGGGUUGGUUGAGUUCUUGCUCGACCGCGGAUUAUGAUUCAAAGUUCAGCAAGCUAUACAUCAUAGGUUCUAACUAAGUUCAGCAAGCUAUACAUCAUAGGUUCCAACUAAGAGUGAAGUUAUAUACUCUACAAAUGUAACGCUAUGUGCAAGUGUCCUUACUAUUCGACUCAAUCUUCCCAUGUUUUACAAGCCGUUAGAUUGGACUUAAUACGGUCGAUUCUCCUUCAACGUUAGCUUCUAUUAGGGGUGGUUGGAUACUUAAGCAGACUAAGUGGGAAUUCCCUCAUAUCGAUGAGACUCUCGAUAUUAGGUUUCAUGAUCCUAUGCGUAUGUGCAAUGUGUUGAAUACACUUCCAUCUCAAGUCUUGGAGAUAAACAAGCGAGUCCUGUCGUACAAUCGUGAAGCCCCAUAAGAGGAGGUUCUUCUUCUGAAUAGAAGUAUAGCGACAGUCAAUCUAAAAGAAGCAUCUAACGAGGUUAUGUUACGUCAAUGACGAAGGUGUGAGGAAUGUGUGUAGCUGUCACAAGCUGUUAAGUUAUUUCACUAAGCGGGUGCAUCGAGCUAAGUAUGCAGAAUGAGUCUUAACUCUUUCGAGUGCAUACGCAGGUUCUCAUCUCACUUGGAUCUUCCAGCGUUCAUUGACUUACGUGGUCGAAUCUACCACACAGGUGUCUUGCAUUUUCACGAGGGCUUCAAGUGUUAUCUUAUUUGCUAACGCUAAACAACUCGAACAACGUUAGGAGAAUGAUCGAGAAGAAUGCUUUUCUCAUGUGCUGCUGCCUUUAAGCUUACUUAAGAAAUUGACAACGUUUCCAAAGUCUAUAGUGGAGUAGAUUCACGAAGUGAGUCGUUCGGACGAGAUUGCACUUUGCACAGCAAGCUAGUGAGCCUUUUGCAGUUCCUAGCUGACGUGUCUGUCAAACGAAAAAGUGAGUAUUCGUUUUCAUAAUGUGCCAGUGAGUCAAGAUGCAUCUGCGAGUGCUUAUCAAAUCAUGAGUGAUCUUUUGCUUAAUGAAGAACUGGCUAGUUAGGUUUAUGGUUCAUUGUUCAGUCGCUCAACUUUGCUAUGAAUUUAGUAGAAAGAUCCUGACAUAGCCAAUAUCAUGAAGUAGGUGAACUUGGUUUUGUUCUUUCUUGAAUCAACCAGGCGUAUCAAGAGUACUUCACGACAGUGCAGGACGUAACAAAAAGCUUCUUUAUGGGUUGGUUUUUCUAGGGUGGGUGUGCAAGAAUAGACGUCGGGUUACUCUACGAGUGCCUACGUUGGAUAGGGAUAAGCGCAAGACUCUAGACCUGCGUCAACUUUCUUCAUCUGGCUUUCAGCUCCUUUCUUUCUAGCUGGUGGAGCAAUUGACUUCCAAAAGUGAAGCUCCGGUACAUCAUAACGACAUCCGUUGUUUAGGCGGCAGCAAGGUCAUACUAGAGUUGGGUUGAGUAUAACUACUGUUUGCACUUAUGAGAGAGAAUCCUAAUUCUAAUAAACCAUCUUCCCUGUGGAUAGGCCCAAUUCCAUCUUUAGGUUCAUAUGGAGUUAUCGACUUUAUGAACGGAUGACAUCUCAAAAAAGAAAUGAAUAUACUCAAGGUUUAGAACUGCUGAAGAAGGUAAUAAUCUCGGUGUUGGCUUGGCUUCAGAAGCACAUUCUCCACGUCCACGACACCUUGCUUCAAAGCCUUAAGUAGGAAUUUCUGAUUACCCCCUUCCCUUGUUGCUUCCUUUCGAACUGUAAUUCUCCUGACUUUCAAACAAUAAGAUUUCAUGAACCUUACCCACUCUGUGAAGACUACGAAGUUAUAGCAUCGGCUAGAAUGCAACUUCAAGUACUGUACAACUUUUGAGUCUGGUAAGGUUACGAUAGGUUAUAUCAUCAAAAGUCCGAUUGGAGAGAUUUCAUAUAUGGGGAGCUAUUUCUUGAAAUGAUUCCGGCGGGAAAGCCACUCGGUUUAUUUAAUAAAGAUGGAGUUUGGAAUACGUAAUGCUUAAAGCUGAGUUAUACGAGAAUACUCCUGGCAAACUAGUAUUUAGUCGAGCCUAUAUUACUGGUAUUAAAGAGAAUACACCUAUUAGUGUUGAGGAAGCUGAUACCAAAAUCAAUCCAAUCUUGUCUGACUCCAAAAGAAGCUACUUCAAUGGGCGUCGUUAUCCCGAACUCAAACAUCAGAGUAAAGCAAAGCAUGCUUUCAUUGUUGACGAUACUGAGACUGUUCUCAUAUAUAAUGUUCAUGUGCCUUAUGCUGCGGGUUUAUGUUGACGAUACUGAGACUGUUCUCAUAAAUAAUGUUCAUGUGCCUUAUGCUGCGAGUGGUUAAACCAGAUGAUGAUCUUGGUGCCAUGCCUUAUUAUUCAAUUGACACAUUGAUUGAAGUGAUCGUUAUGCCAUAAUUUCCAGAAAAGAGUAAUCGUAUGUUGUUCUACUUUCCCGAACGUUUAGCAUUUGUCUUAAAAGCGGUCAUAACUUAUCACGAUUCGAUGGGAUUCUAUAUUCUUGGGAUUCUAUAUUCUUAAUAAAAGAUUAUGCUUAUCAUGGGGAUAAGUCAUCAAUGAAACCUAUCAUGAGGAACCAUAAGCUUUACGAGUUAGCUGUGUCUCGAGAUGGGAAACAACUGCUCCGUCUAAGAGAUUAAUACACAAAGAUCCUUAGUAGUCUUGCUACAUUGGCUAGGACUUUCUGUCUUCGAUUAGGUUCGAAAGGCUCCAUCCCACAUGACGAAGUGCAAGUGUCGAAUCUUUCCCCUUCAGGUCCCAGGGAAUCGCUCUGAUCCCCUACUUCUCUUUAUUAAUCAAGUAGGUUGUGUACGAUAAGCGCUGAUCCCACAGUUUGCUCUUCCAGCAUCCAUGCAUUAAGAAUUAGUAAGUGGGGGUUCGGUUCAAAUACCUUCCUUUUGGACUUUCUUUUUCCUACCCCGCUAACGGAAACUCAGGCUUCCAAAAAGGCCUUUUCCCCGGGCGGCUUCGAAGCCCCUCUCCAAAUGGGCAACCCUUAGUUUAGAGCCACCUCGAUUCAGGAUGUCGGAACACCAACCGGAUCGGAAACCGAUUCCUAAACAUACUUAGCUUUGGAACAUCGAUCGAAACCCUUUCCUAUCUAGUUCAGCUGAUCCUUCAGUUCCAACUAAAUCGGAAGCUUCAUUCUACAGACGAGAGUAGGCUCGAGGAGGAUAGGAUCCUGAAGGGCUUUGGGUCAUUUUGUUGAUGUCCUUUGGUUAGACCUUUGGCUGGAUCGAAUCCUUUUCGCGCGAGCAUAGCAAACGAGCAAUUGAGUCAUAUAAGAAAUCCUGUUUGUUGCCUAGUUCGGUCUGCUACAAGGCUAUCCGAGUUCAAGGGUGUCGUUGUUUUUCCCCUUAUUCAUUAAGAUUGGGUUGAUGUAACUGGCCUUUCUCUUGCUGUUGUCGAGUGCCUGCUGCUUGACUUCUUUCUGACAUCCGCCUAUCUUACAUUCUUUAGAGAGCAAGCAAGGUGCUGAAAGCCAACAAGUAGUUUCGUUUUGGAAGCAAAGCAGUGUUUAUUACCUAUAGCAGCAUAAGUCACUUCUCUUCAACAAGCACUAUAUUCUACAUGAAACUCUUUAAGUCACUUUUCUUCAACAAGCACUAUAUUCCAUUCCUUCUUUUUCGCUAAUGCGCACCCAUCUUAUUCUUUCAGUCAAACUAUCCCCGCUUGGUCAAUAAGCUUACGCGCAACGGGGUUAAUCUAUUCCUUCUUAAAGGAAGCUAUGUAGGUAGGUUACUUCAUUCUAUAUUAUCUGUUGCCAAUUAUGUCUUCUUGAUUCCACACUGGAUUCAACAAGUAAGCAAGCAAGGGAAGCGCACGAAUAAUGUACUUGAGAUAAGGGUUCGCUCAGUACAGUAAGAAGUGUUGUUUACGUUAUUAUAUCCAUCUUAGGCUAGAAGAGGUAGAAUCUAUUUCCGUAAGCAAUGCUGUCAGCUGUAAGGUAAGAUUCCUAGGGAAGAGAUGCUGUAUGAAGAGAUGCAGAUGCUGUGUAUUUACAAUGUGUUCUAUAACAAGCUUCUUUACUUUUUGCUUGAUCAUAUAGAGUAAGGUAAUUGGAAAGAAUUCUAUACUAGGUCGGGCUCGACACCCUUAUUUAUUUCAACUCAACCUUCCCUUCAGAACCAAUUGUAGCUGACUUACUUUAUGUUGCUCCUUAUACAGAUCCUUAUGUGAACCCUUCUUUUCGGGAGACCUUUUGGGGAGACCUUGCUGCUCUUGUUUAUUAUUAUUAUAUACUUAUUGAAUGGAAUUGUUGAGCACUUAGGUUUGUUUAGAGCACGAAGUGUGACCUUCUUCUAGAAUACCCCCCCGGCUAAUGAUUCUGUUUCUGACCUUGCGCCAGAGGGUUCUAAGUCAGUUUGUGCCAGCAGGUAAGAUCAGAUUUUGGGUUAGGUUACCAAAAGUGUUAUAAUGGAUUGGUUCACUAUCAGCUCUCGGGGCGCUAAUGCUUACUGACCCUAAUCCUAAUGCUUACUUACCCUUAACUACUCUAAUGCUUAUUACUGGGGCCGGAGUAGAACAACCAGCAUUAAUAAUAGGGGCUUGAGACUUACGCUGGAGAAAAGAGAGUAGAUUCGGCUGGCUUACUUAUACGAUGAAACUGGAACAGGACAUUAAUAAGCUGACCUCUUACUACUGCAGAUACGGACUCCUGCUGAUCUACCGGUUGAAGAUUACGCCGGGCCGGGAGGGGAAAGCAAAUAACUUACCUCUAUGACUCGUAUUCAACACAAUCACCUCUAUCAUCGCCAACAACAAGAACCUAAAAGAAGAGAGAGUUGUUGCCACCUUGGGUGUAUUCUGAGGAGACUUAAGCGGAAAGACACCACUUGGUAAGAAGCUCAAAAAAGAACUAUUCUAUAUAAUGAUGAAAAUGCUAAGAUGCACUAUUCUAUAUAAUGAUGAAAAUGCUAAGAUGCUUCUUACUGUUAACAAACUGAAGUUGAAAAACCAAUAAUAACCACCCUAUGAAAAGAAACCUUGAGGUGACAUUAGGCGUUGGAGAUAGAGCUAUCUUAACCACCUGUAAAAAGAAAGUAGCACUCCGCCGAAAUUAACUGCAAAGACAAGAAAGGAGAGUUGUUUCAGUUUAUUGCACAAAUGCAAACACAGCAACUUCAAUCAACACAGUGGAAUUGGAAAGGCUUAUCCGCUCUUGAGUUGGCUUAUGUGCCUCUUGCUAACUGGUAUGUUGAGAGCCAAAGUGGUAAUAACCCUAACGUUAUGUGGACUCAAAUGAGUGUCUUUAGGAAAACCUUGAGAACUGUUGAUGAUCCCUUAAACAGGACUCGGUAAUAACUCUCAAAACCUAAAACACAGGACUUACAGAGUAUAUUAAGUUAAGUAGCACCCACCCGACCCUAGACUUUAUUCACACAGCGGAUUCUCUCCCUUGUCGGAGUGGAGGUGAAUAUAAUAUACAUCGGAGUGGAGGUAAAUAUACUGGAUUACUAUUUCUUAUCGUAGUGGAGGUAAGUCAUACUCUUAUCCUUCUCAAGCUUCUGUAUCAAAGGAGGAAUUACAGAAUAGAGUUUACUUACAAGUAGUAGUCACUACUAAACCUUUCUUAUUAGACCCCUAAGGCAACUAUACCUCCAUCUGUUCUCUUCUCUUGCUCCGCUACAUCCGGAGUAGGGGAAUCAACCCUAUCUUAAACUCUCUAUCUGGUGUUGGAGACAAAAGAAGAUACUCGACUUGGACCACUACGAAUACGGGAUAAGAAGCGAGGGUGGUUAGGUACUGGCUGGCUUCUGAAGCACUAACUGACUUAUAUAAUAGAACAGAUCAAACUCCCACUGCAGACUGCUUUCCUGGCACAGUAUCUUAUCUUGUCGGCUCUCCUUGCACUACGGAUUCUCGAACAACAACUCUCGUUUGUCAAUAGUUCUCGUACCGUGUAUAUAAUUGGGUAAUUAGAGAUAGAAGAUGAGUUUACAUUCCAAUGAAAUGAUUAUAUGCUUGACACAACAAGCAACUCACCAACAUUGGCACCCAAAGAAAUAUCUUCUAUUCUCUUAAUGAUUCAACCUCGUAUUCAGCCCCAACCCGAACUCUAUUGGAAGUUCUGAAUUGACCUCUGGAGCACCUGGUAUCCCAUAAUGUAAGCUAACAAUCAACAAAGGAUUGAAUUUCAUCUCUCGAGCUUAGAGUCCAAGAUUCAUUUAUUUACUUCACGGAUGUUCUAUCAAGUUAGAAUUGAGCGCGCAGCAGGAAAAUCUUUUAGUGCAUUAACUCCUGACGCCUAACCAAAAAAGUACUUACAGCUGAUUGACUUUCAACAUAUAGAUAUGAUGGUUGAGAUAGCUACGUGGGAGAAUCAAAGCGGGGUUUUGAAACAAGAGAAUAGGACUCUGAUCGACAUGGUAGCAAGAAUAAGGAGUUAGAGAAGCCAGCCUCAAAGGGCGGGGCAUGACAUACUUCACCAAUUGGAUAGGAAGAAAUUCUAGUAGUUGCAGUUUUCAAGUCAGGCAAUAAGGGCUUGGCGGGCAGAGGUGAUUGUUAUCGCUAGUUUGAUUCUGCCUAUAUGUGGGGCACUAGAUCAGACCUAUACUCUACUUAUUCUUAUCCUGAUUCUCUUAUUAUCUGAAACUAUUAACUAGCAAUUGAUCCUAUAGGAGCAAGGAGCCGACUAGUCCUAAUCGGAAUUUCACUCAACAUCAAGAUCCUAUGACAGGACAGGGCCCUAGGCAACAAGCAACGAAACAAACACCGCAACCCCUACUGAAAAGAAUAACCCUGUGGACAAAAACUCUGACUCGCUCCGCUCUCUUGAGUGCGCUGCGCCUCCAUCGACAUUCUAACUAUCUCUGUUAUGAGCCUGUUGCCGCUUACCUGUAUUCUUUAAUUCGACUGUUAGUCCUACUAUGCUUACCCUCAUUCCCCAACUAAUGCCUUAAAGGCUCCCAUAACUAUGUCAGUAUUACACUAAUAUAAGUGAAUUGAAUAAUAAUUAAUAGAAGUCAAGAAUAGCAGUCAGUUUAAAGACUUGCGGCUAACGAACAUAACAUCAGAGUGCAAGGAGCAAGUAUAGGACCUAACUCUAAAGUCAAAGUGGAGUCGAGGAGAAUUCACCUAAGUAGUAUUAGUCUCAAAGAAGGAAGGUGGAAUCAGAGGAGACCCAUAACAAGGGAAUGAAACCAAUACAGUUAGAAUUGGGCUCGACAAUCACCUACUUCAAAUGAAACAAGGGUCGAUUACAUUGAGCUAGUCAUUCUGCUGAUGAUACAUCUUCUGCUUCAGAUCCUAAUACUGCUUUAGCUUAUCCUUCUUAUCGAGUCUAGCCUACUGCAGACUUGAUUUCGCCAACUCCUGAUUGGUAUUCUGAUCCAGAUCUUGGAGACUUAACUAGAACAGAAGAUCAGAUUGAUUAAUUGAAUCAUCUUGCCCAUGUGAUAUAGAUUGAAGUAAACACACACCAUCGUGAUAUAGAUUGAAGUAAACACACACCAUCCCCUUAUUGGGAAUCUUACAGAUCAGGUUUCCUCUAUGGUUCCAUUCCAACACCUACCUCUCUUCUUUAUUACUUUCUUAUAUAUAGCCUGGCCCUUGUAUACUCUUAUGAAAUUAUGACUUCUUGUGCAAUCUCUUUACAAGCUUUGACUUUUUGAUACCUAUAUUCUUCCCCUAACUCGGCUUGGACCACUACUUGGGGCAGGAAACCAAGAUUGAUCAUCGUUAUUCUACUCUCUUUUCUCAUGCAUGCCCACUACGAAUCAGAGGUGAAGUCGAACCCUAAACCCCAAUCUUUAUGGCAUUAAUGAAGGGCACAGGACAUUACUCAAAACCCUAUAGUCAUUAGUCUGGAAAGAAAGCGCCAAGCUCCUACGUAAGACCAAGCAACGAGGCAAGUCACACCGGUCCUAACCUGUUUUGUUCCUACUUUCCUGUUAGUAUUAGCUUGCCGGGCUUUGAAGCCAUAAGUUCAUGAGUUUAUGUUGAAUCCGCUGAGUCUUCUUGGGCCGACCUUACCUCUACUUUGAGUUCAGAACCGAUUGCUUCUAAUCUUGCUUUAGAUCCUACUGCUCGAACAGAUUAUUCUCCUGAUUCAUAUCCAGAUCCUGCUUGAGCUUGCUACCCGGAUCCAGCUUAUGGUCUCGUUGACAAAGGAGAGUUCUGAGACAGAAUCCAAUCUCAUGUCCACUGCUAGGUGUUCUGUUCUAGGUGAAUCGACAACAUAAGAUGCUGUUUCACGAGAAGAAGUAGUGUGAUAUCUUGGUGUUGGUGAAAGAAAGGAAGCUAUUAGAUAAGUUCGGGCAAGAAUAUAAUAAAGUACUGGCUCUGUCUCUGCUCUACCUGCGGACUUUAAGCUUUCAUCACGUAUAUAGUAACAAUGAGAAUGAGAAGAUAGGCACAACGGCAGCCACAGACUUCCCGGCGCACCCGCCCCAUACAGGACUUUUACUUGAUGGGAGCAAUUAGAAUAGUGGAGUAGUAGGGCCAGGCCCGGACGAGAUACAAAACAGGAAACUUCUCUUGGCUUCUCUUGCAACAACAGAUUGCGAGUUUCAGGCUUUGCUUUCACCCGCGUAUACAGACCCAUGUUCUUAUCUACGGACCUAUUAUGUUCUUAGUAUCCGGAGUCGCCUACACGGUAAAGAACUGGAACCUCCACUUUAUGAUUCUGAACCGACAACACAAUCCUCUUAACGCGCCCAGUAUAGAAUUGAGUAAAUACCCUUAUUCCCUAUCUCUACGCCCUUUGCUCGAACUAACCUUUACUUUACCCCCCGGCUCUAACUCCAGUGCUCCAAAUACCAAAUAAAGAAGAGAACUUCUCAGAGGAAACUCAAUUAUGAAAUGAAAGCAGAAACCUGGAAUUCCAUUCUCCAACCCUAUUCUUAAAUGCAAAUUGAGUGAGUAGUCGUUUUUACUCAUAUCUAUCUCGGGUGCUCUAAAGUGGAUGCUUCUAUCUAUAUAGGAUUACUAAGGUCUAGCGCCAAGAACGGAAAGAGUACUCUCGAAACAAGAACACGAAACAAGAGUACGAAACAAGAGACUGCUUGACUUAGCGCUUCUAUCGGAGAUGAACUAAAGCCAACUCCUCUAUCGUAGCCAAACACUUUUACAACAGAAAUAGACUCCAGAGCGGCAGCACUUGUUGGUUCUUCAAGUAUGGAGUCUAGAGAAGGUUAUUCCGCAAUUACUGGCUUUGAUGCCCUACCCUAACCCUAAGUAAAUGAGUGGAAUCCGUAUUUGUUGGCGCAAGUGCCAUUAUAAGUCUUUUCAUUUAGAAUUCUCAACUGCUUAGGUGUAGUCUCAAGGAAAAGACUCAAAAGAUGGUGUUAUCGACCCGACGGAAACAAAACGGAUGGUGUUAUCGACCCGACGGAAACGAAACUGCAAACUAAUAACUCCCUAAGCGCCGAGUCAAGCUCACUAACACAGAAACCUGGAACCGGACUAACAAAGUCUUACCCGAACCGAACUCACUUUAGAUUAGCACUAGUUCUUGUUGGGUCGAGGAAAACAGCAAACGUCGCCCUUGCUUGUUCCGUUGCUUUAAGAAUUGUAAUACCUUCUACUAAUACAAUGCAUUAAGUAGUUCCUUACAGUAGUCGCUUUUUUCUUUUAUUGAGUCUUUCGAGCUUCGAGCUAAAGUCAAAGUUAAUAAGUGUAUAAUAUUACCUAAUAGCAUUUCUAUACAAAAUCAACUCGCUACUCGCUAACCGCACUGAGUCUUCUUGUGCCGAGCCGAAAUAAGCACUUUUGUUGGCUUCUCCGAAAUAAGCACUUUUGUUGGCUUCUAUAAUUAUUCUUUCAUGUAGGUCUACUUCAUACGAGUUUCUUUGGUUAUUCAUUUCUAUAUUAGGGUAGUAGUAGUUCUUCCAUUUCCAUUUCCACUCUAAACUCCGUAAGCGCUUAACCGAGAUGAGAUCGUAUAGAAUGAGACGUAACGACACUAACUCCCGUCAAGGCUUAAUUGCUAGGAAGAUUCAUAUAAUAUAGUUAACCACUCGCUCCUGUCCAAGUGCCCCAUCUCUCAUUCCACAGCCACUGCACUUAAUGCCUUAUUUUAGAAGAAGUAAAUCCACUAUUACGGAUUGGAAUUCCACCAAUGCUAGCAGGAACCCAGCUACUACUAGAAAGACAACAGCCCUAAAGUCAGAACUCCAUCAAUGCUAAAAGGAAUGGAACUACCUCUUGCCAACCCUUCAUAGCUUAUAAGCUUAGCUUCCAAAUCUGACUUUCCUGCCCCAUCUUAUAGUAAAGCUACUUAUUUCAAGACUUUCUCCUUUAGUAAAGAAAUACACCAGCAAAAGAAAGACUAUAAGUGGGCCUACACAGGAUGGAACUGGCGCCUGUCAUACCUUAACAAGUAAAGGGGAAUUCCAUUAGUCACUCUGGGAGACAAGUAACAACUAGGCUACCACCCUACCAACUACUACUGAUAGGAAUAAAUCAAGUAAUAAAAAGAAUGGACCUAGGGCUACCAAUACCUUCCAACUACAAGAUAAGGGUUACACCAAUACAACUCAUGCUUAGCUGUUGGACAGGGGUGGCUUUCUUAUUUCUGCCUAUCAGGGAACCAACUCUUGCUUGACUUGCUUUGAUUCCGACUACUACUAAUAAGGAUUAAUACGGUAGCGCGUAGCCCUUCUCUAUUGGCACCUACGCAGCCCUUGCUCUACCUUAUCUUAACCUAUCCUUCCCGACCAUUGGUCUUACGCCACUUACUAUAGGUCUUACUUUUAUGUGGAGCAUAUUAGUUUGACUUUGCUUGCUUUGAGGCUACCUCCCCUUCUUCCACUGCUAACUCAAAAACGGUUACUAAUGCCAGCGAGCCGGUAAUUGAACAGCCUAUAUCCUUUGUUUCAACCUUGUAUUGCUUUAUCCAAUUCUCCAGCUACGGGGAACAUAACCUGUGCCUUUCUUCUAUUAUUCCUAUGCUUGCUCUCGUUUGGGUAUGCCUAUACUGUAACUAAGCCUACCUUUCCUGACCUCGCAUCUGUACUCGCUAUAUCAUAACAUAUCAUACUAUACACAGGUAUAUUGUGUGUUAUACUAGGGUGUGUUGUGCCGUACGGAGGUGUCAAUCAAUGGAGGUUUGUUGGCGAGCAAGUAAAUAAAUCCAAGAAAUAGGGUUAGUUGGCCGGGUAGGUAAGUACUCUCUUUUUGUUUUAGGCUCAGAGGUCGUAGUCACCGGCUAUGAGUCAAGAAGGUAAGGAUCCCUCAAGUAACCACUAGACAAACUGCCAGCCAAGCAAAAAACGAAGAAAUAUGUCAUAUCCAUAUUCUAAUGAGAAAACACAUAUCAAUACAUAUAAAUAUAAGUCAACAAAAAGAAUCAGAAUGGAGUAGUUCAAAAGCAGAAUAGAAGGCGGGGGCCUUGGUGCAGUAAGUAAGAGACUGAGAGCAAAGGGCCAAGCAACUAGUGAAACUAAGACUUCAAUCACUGCUGGUAAGAAUGGAACAGUGCCUGCUAAGUCCGAUGCUAGUGGUAUUGAUGCUAGGGCCAAGUCCUGUCCUCGUAUAUGUCUUCUUUCCCCCUUUUCCAGCAAUAGGUACAAAUCUUUCUUUUCUCCCUUUUCUUUCUAUCUUAAUGAUUAUGGAAUUGACGGACCACCGACUGUCUAGAUGUGAAAUAGUUCGUGCAUGGAAUAUGAGUUGAUUGAAGUAUGGUACCUGAUUGAAGUAUGGUACACCAACAUAGACAAAAUGAUACAUAUCGGCACCCGCACCCUUAUAAAUCAAAAGGUAGAGAGCGGGCAAGCCGUUGUUUGUUCGAGUUAAAGCGCUUACGCGAGUGACUUCAUCGCCUAUUGCUAUUGUAUAUAAAUACAGAAGUCAUAUUCCCAGAUACAGAAGUAAUAUUCCCAGAAGUCUAUACAAGAGCUCCACUUUUCCAUUCUUUUCUUGUCUUGUGUUUAGGCGCCUUAGCUUUCUUUGAGUUUUGUGUAGGUUCUCUGUUGGUUUGUGGUUGGUCUAGUGUUUCCUUCCGAUUGAGUCGGGCCAGUGGGAUCACCGGUACCCCUAUUAGAUUCAAGGUGUUGGGUUCUGCUAAAGAUGUGUCUCAUCCUUCCGUAACGCUCUCUUCAAUUCCAUUCAGUUCAGUCACUCUAUCGGGUUCUGCUAAAGAUGUGUCUCAUCCUUCCUAUUGCUAUUGCCCACUAAACUCUCUAUUAGUCAAUAAUAAAUAGUCUAGAGAAGAUAAGCGGGAAGAGAAAUCAUAAAUAGUCUAGAGAGAGGGUAAGCGGGAAGAGAAAUCAUAAAUAGUCUAAAGAGGAUAUCGGGAAGGGAAAGAAUCAAUCAAGUAACUACAAAGAAUCAAUCAACUAACUACUAUAAACUAAAGGUCCGGGUGCCGAAAUCGUAACUACUAUAAACGAAAGGUCCGGGUCUAAAGCGAUUUGACCUAUCUUACUCGUGACUUUCCCUAGGAUUUGACCCAUCUUACUCGUGACUUUCCCUAGAAUAUCCGUUUCCCCAGGGCGACUCUACAUCCGGGUUCUCAGCAAACAAACCCAGAGUAGUUGACCACGGCGUAAACAACGAGAACUCUCCUAAUGCUUCUAACUCACUCAUUUCAUACUUGAACUUCCGUGUAGUUCCUUCUUGUGUUGCGGUUCAAUUCCAAAAUGCCAGGGAUAGAAAAUCAAAGGGAUGCUGUAUAGAAAGAAAUCGGGUCAUUAUUUAGGUGCUUGGUUUGCUCCUUACGCUCUACGCUCAAAGUCAAGUAUACUUUUUCCUAAGCUUGCUGAGUCAGGGUUUUUAGGUGGUAAGGAAGAAGCAUUGUUUUUAGGUAGAGUAGAGCCAGUAGUAAUGGGUCUUUUUCCCUAUGGAGCAUAUGUCUAUUCUAUUCUUAAAGCCACUCGGGGUUCUUAAAGCCACUCGGGGAACAAGCAAUCUUCUCUUCUGCUUCUGAUCCUUAUGAUUCUCUCUCUCAUGGACAAGAAAAGAAAGAUCAAGCGCCAAGAACCUAAUCUGCUCUAUACUUAAGUACUAAAUCAGCCUAAGGGAAAGCUCUCAAAUGGCAAAUUAUCUUAGUUUUACCUAUGUUCAACUCAUCUUAUGGAAAAUCCCCCAUCCAAUUCCCUAUUGGCUGUAGAAAUGCAUUUUUGCCUGAUAUCUUUGCAUGCUUAGCUUUGACCAUACCUUUGCUUUCCAACCUUUCUUUUCCUUGACUUACCCACCGCUACAAAGAAUUUCAGAAUACAUCUCCAUUUACCUGCUUCUAUAUUCCAUACUGCAUCCCUUUUCUUUUGCGUUACUUCCUAACUCGACUUAAAGCUCGUCGCUAACUAGGAUUCCACUAUCACACCACUAACUUGAAGUCAGAACUGCAACACCGUUCCAUGGGCAUUCGAAAGGAGCUUAUUAAUACAACAACACUCGCACCGCUACCGCCGAUGACAAAAACGACACUUGCCCCGAAAACGAAUAAUCUGACUUGUUUGGUUGACUGCCAGCCUUAACCCAUAAGUACUUCAGUAUAGUUCCAUUCCAGUUCGAGUAUUGUCGUAGAGAGAAGCUCUCCGUCAGUAAAGUAUCAAGUAAGUAUCGCUUAUAUAGUGGAUCUUGUAUCGUAUAUCAAAUUGUCAUCCUCAAUUCCAACUUCUUUGUCAGUGCAAUUUCCAUGAUUUUAGGCUUCUGCGCUAAGAGAUACAAAAAUCCUGUUUAUGUUCGACUUUCCCCUGUGCAAGAAAGAAAGAUUCCUGUCCUGGUGCAGGCGCAAGAAAGAAAGAUUCCUGUCCUGUUUUAUCAAUACGAGUGAGGGCAAUUAGAAGUUUAGAGAGUGGGUGUGCCUUCUGAUUCUGGUAUGCUAAAAGCUUUUCCCGGUUCUGCUUCUACGCAACAUAUAUGAAAUUGAGAAGCACUAGACGGCGGAACCCAAAAUUCUAUACGCUAAUUCUUAAGUUUAUUACCUUGCUGUUCAAUUCACACUUUGGAGGUGACUUAUUCUACUUAUUUGUUUCAUUCUUUUUUGGAGGGUUGGAUUCUUUAUUUACUUGCUCACGUGUCUAUUCUAGUAGUAGCUUGGCUCUGGCCUUUGCGUGACUACCUACCCCGGACUCAGCAUCAGUGAAUUCUUUGACUUCAGAUUGCUCUUCUACCGGCAAGCAACUACAAUAACAGUAUAAGAAUAAUCUGCAGGAGUAGAUUCUAAGUAAAGAUCAUAGGCGCAAGUCAGCAGCUGUAAUAUUCCAUAUCUUUUGUCUAGUAUUAAUGAGCCUUAAGGAGUUCUAAAUAAUACUCGAAAGUGAAGUUAAUAAACCGAGUGUAGGUUCCUCGCUUAGAGUGGAGUUAUCUUCUUCGCCCCUAAGUCUCUUGCUCUAGGAAUAGAGUAUUUCUCUACUUGUGAUUGGUCUAACUUUACAAUAUAUCAUAUCAGUUUGACUUGACUUGCUUUUACUUGAAGACUAAGUCGACUACCUUGUUGACCGACCUACCUAUGAAUUACCGAGGUCGUACUUCUUUGUAGUAAAUAAAGAAUGAAGUGAUAGAUUUGAAGAACGAAAGUCAAUAGUGAUAGCCGGUAAGGGCAUACCAAACCAUGGGAGUGGAACGUUAACUAAAGAAGAAAAGUCAGUGGUAGAAGGCUUCAAGUGGUAUGGCAUACAAACCUGAAACCGGGAAACAACCCUUACUGCUAUUAGAAUGUGACUCAACAGCAUAAGCCUAACUUAUCGGAAUGACUCUUACGACCCGCACAAACUAAUAUAGAUCCAUCUAGUUAUAAUCAUUAACUCAAUUCUCAUGUUACAGCUGGAGUCUACCUCUCUUUGCUUGAAAACUGAGGUUCCCCGCUUAGAGUCUGUUUUGGUAGGAAUAGAAACAGGUACGAGACAGCGCAUCUAACAAAAGGAAUAGAACUACUAUUUCAAAGAAUCGCACGGGUGAGUUUUGGUAAUAUAAGAAUGCAAUUACUAAUACCAUAAAUAGAAUUAGGUAAACCGAAUGCAAUUACUAAUACCAUAAAUAGAACUAGGUAAACCGAGCCUUACUCCCGAUGGAAUAAUCUGACUAACUAUAUAGGCAUUCCAAGCGCCCUGACACUACCAACUCGACACCUGCUUUAUUGUCCUCUUAGCUUAUAUCCCCUCGCUCUCAUUCUCUAUGUUGUUCCUCGUAUCUUGCUUCACUGCCCCUUCGCCUAUAUCUCCUGACUAUGAGUAUUGCUUUACUGGCUCUAAGGCUUACUUGACUGUCUCCUAUUCUUAUUAGCCCGUCUUCCAUUCCUAUGUUUAGUAAUUGACUUGUUAGGACGAUAUUCCUUAGCUACCUUAGUUUCGAGUUAGAGUGGAGCCUUACACUCUAGUUAACAUCACCAGUAGCAGACCUGUAGCAGUAGGCCAGAUUAUUAACACCCGCACUUCCCCCUUCCACUCUUAGGCUCCUGUCUUUGAUUCUAAUACUUUUAUGCGAUGGGACAUGUUAGAGGCUUGCUUUCCUAGCUGUCAGUAUUACUUUACUGGAUAUCAGUCUAUACUCUCUUGUUUUGAGUCUCCCCUAACUGCUUAUCAGCCACCAAGUCCUAGUCUCUGGGGUUAUGAAAGUCAACCACAUAGUCCUUUAGUAGCGCCUAUCAGUCAACCCCGGGUAACUUGGUCUUUGUUCGUUCGUGCCAAAGUCAAUAAAUUGGUUGAUGAACUUCACCAAUAGGGGAAUCCAGCGCUACCUUAUUUAUUAGAAUAAUGAAAUGUAAGUAAACUAAGCAAGCUUUAUUCACCAGGGCAGGGCGUACAAUCAUACUCCCGGGUAGCGCAAAGCCUUAGAAAACCCGCAGCGAAACAACCAUCUGUAUUAAUUAUUAGAUUCUAUUAGUAUCACCCUCAUUGCUAUAAGUCCUGAAACCACUCCCGUUGUAUUCAAAGCAAAGUAAGUAUACCAGUCAGAGCUAUAAGACUCAUUUACUUGUUUGGUAUCGCCUGUCUAUUAUAUGAGAAUAAAAUAACCACUUAGCAACCUAUCUUGUAUAUCAACCUUACUCUCAUGCCACCUAAGUCCGAUACUGCUCUAUCUCAGCCUAUCUCCCCCAGCUAUCAAACGAAAACUACUGUUCGAGAGGCCUACUUUACCGUUUCUCGUUCUCCAACACUAAUGAACCUAACCCUAGCUUGAAUUCCAUAUUGAACUUAUUGUUGAGCCUAGACUUGUUCCUAAUAAUCUUGCCUGAAAACGGAAACCUCUUGCCUUGACUCUUACUUGCUAGUGUGAACCUGCCUCUUUUGUGCACCUAAUCUUGCUUCUUAGUUAUGGAAUCCAGCUACUGCUGAAAGGGCUGCUAUUCAUAGCUAGUUUCAUAGCUGGUAUCGAGUUACCCGAUCCUGUAUCUAGGUAUCUAUUUCCUUUCCUCAAAUCCGUAUUGCACCUCUAUCCAUAUCAGUCUGUCUUUUCUGUCUCUAAGCCUUACAUGCUUUAACUGCGGAUCUAACAUCUGGCUUCGAACCUUGCAUUACUCCAUCUCGAGGCUUGCUCUGCUGGCUAUCUCUUACUAUAUCCUUAUUUGGAGUCCGAUUCCCCUAAUAAUGAGAGUCGAACUGGUAUCUACCUAUAUGAUUAAAACAAGCAACGGACUCACUACCGCUACACUCUUUCGAUCCAGAUCUUUGCUUGAAUCCAAUAGUGCCUUGUCCAGUCCGUAAGGGGAAAGGAAUUGUUAUAACAACUCCUUUGUUCGUCUACCUGUUUUCGUUCCUUUCUUUGUGCUAUAACCAAGUCCUGUAUUCGGGAGCUUGCCCUACAGGUAGUGACUAGACCACUUGCAUAUCGAACGGAUCUUACUCUAAAGGGAGUCAUUGCGAUAUUACCUAGGAAUUUACAGAAUACCAAACUUGGAUAAUAGGUAGACCACUGCAGAGAACCCUUUCGUAGCUACGUUCCCAAUAAAAAGCCGUAAUCCUUCUUUCGCCUGUUAGCCACAUCAAACCUAAAACCUAAUAAACCAAGACUCAGUCACGAAACCUCACUGCACACUAUAUCUGUCUUCAGCCAAUAAAAGACGUCUAUACUAUAGAGAAUCUGGCUCGAAAAGAAACUAGGGAUCAUGAACCCCCUCCAUAAUUCUUUUAUACAGAAUGCUCCCUUUUCCGCACGGGCUAGAUAGCAUUUCUUUUGUCUUUGUCUGGAUGAGUCUCGGAUCAGUAUAGGAUAGCACUCGUCCCUCUUAUCCUUUAGCUUUCGUGUGUCGUGGGAGUAUACCUAUAGUGAGGCAGGAUUCCAAGUUUCAUUUAUGUUUUAGAGAGGAAAUUCCACUUUUCUUUACCUUUACCGGCGGAUGUAUGAGCUGCUCUGAUCAAAUUGGUUGACUUUUACGUGAAGUUGGGCUUAAACACCGAGAGAAGAAUUCAUGAUAACUCGUAGCUACUGAAAGAGGAUAGGUUUAUGAAAUGCUUUAGUGAAUACCACCCGCCUUCCACUGGCCGAUCAAUAAUAGUAGGCAUUCCGCCAGACUCCAUGACUCGGGUUAGGUUAAUCAGCUCCACUCCCUAUGCUAUUGAUAUGCUCGAGCCUGAUCGCUCAUAUGAGGACUUCCACUUUCCAUCGGCCGGCAAGAGUUUCGUCUUACCCGCUUAAUUGCCCGAAACCAACCUUGAAAGGAAUAGUUUGAACUAAUUGCCUGUUUACCAACAAAAGUCGGGUAGGGCAGGGAAUGCCAAUGCCUUUGAUCAGAGUCAGUCAAUCUCCUACUUACUAUGCAACUCGCCCUUUGUGUCUUUAUCAUUAGGCAGCGACCCUUGUCAAGGUCUUCCUCUUGACUUUUGACUAUUAGGCUUACUAUGACCACACUGGUCACUUUCUUUCUAACCACAAACGGGAUCAAGGGCAUCAUUUACUUACAGCGGCAACUAAUUCCCUGCGAUAGAAACUUUCCAAUCUCUUAUGUUUUGGAUAAGAGAAGACUAUCUUAGCUCACGGUAUCACCUCAGUGCUUGCCCAUAAGGCGGUUUAGGUUCGAUCGGGUGCCCUUUUGAUCGAUGGGAAGCGAUAAGACCCCAAUGAGAGGAUUGGCAUGAGAUCUGUUUGGUCUCUUAGGUGAGCUCAAUCAUCAUUGCCCAAUAGCUGCUCUUUCCUUGGGGAGUGGAAAGUGGGCAUCUACCUGGCUGUUAGGCCGCCACAUCUCUUCCGCGACUCAAGAGAUCCAGUGUUCCGGCGAUUCUAGCGACCACCAAGGACCUGACUGCAUUCUUUCCUGCCGGCCUCCAAACCCAGGUGAGUAAGCACAAAACUAACGAUGUUACACUCGCGUAGGGUACGUAGCGUUCAGGAACAGGAGGUAUCAAAGGUAGAAUGGGGUACUCGCCGCUACUAGUACCAACUUCCCUGAAAUAAUGGUUCCCUAUCUGUGUGUAGCCCCGGUCGAGAGGCAAACUCGAAUAUUCAACACCUUUUUCCUUUCGCGCAAGAGAGAUCAAAGAAGCACUUUCGAGCGUCAUUUAGAUGUCCAAUCCCUACGCAGCAGAAAUGGUACACUAUCGAUCCAAGCCGGGCCGAUAAGAUGAGAUGGACUAGAAGAAAGAUGUGGCACUAUCUUUGACAGUUUUUUCGAAGUAGGGGCGCUAUGAUAGAAAGGAUUGGUUCACCCUGAGGGAAUGGUACCAUAUAUGCUUUAGCCUGUGCUUACCGACCGUCUUAAGGCCGACAUUUCCUUCGUGUGGACAGGACAGGACCUUUGUCAAGGUCUUCGUACGUGUGUAUCAAGGCAUUAUCAAGGCUUUCUACGUUGGUUGGACUGGAAAAGGACAAUGGCCUCCUAUACUUGGCCCUAAAUUCGUUACCAAAGCAAAACUCAAGCAUUCGGGUAAAAAGACAUCAACUGAGAAGAGAUUGCUUGCUCAGUCUAGGCAGGAGCUUAACUGUGUUCGGGUGCUGAAAGCCUUUCUCGGAUCAUUUGGUUGGUCGAUGUAUUAAGAGAAAGAGAACAGACAAGAAGGGGGUCAAAUACCAAGCUAAAGAAGGAAAGUGGAGUUCUCGUGAUGCUUGCUGUGCUCGGAAAGCCCACUACUUAUGAUAUAUAUUUAUAGGUCUUCCUACUACCAAAUAGGGAAGGAGUAAUCUUUAGGGAUGAUAAGGCGGUCAGUGUCUAAUAUUUCCUCUCCUAUGAGAUUCUCUGAGCGGAUUAGUCGAUCGAUUUAUGGUCCUAGGCUAUCUGCUUGUAUUAUAGCUCGGGUAGGUAAGGUUCCAGUAGUCGUAGUAGUAAGGAGUCAGUAUACAUAUUUUAGAGAGAAUGAAUUGUUGUGUUACCACGAGAAGAGGGCAGGGAAAGUUCAUUGAGCAAAGCCUAAGCUCUUUGAAGAGACAUGAGACAAUGGGCGCGCUUACGAAUGCCAAAGCAAAAGUCCGUGGUCAAGACUUAUAUAUACCCGACGAAGAUCUUGCCUCAAUAGGCUAAGGUCGGUCUUCUCCUAUUCUGUCAAAUAAGACUAUAGCUUAGCGCCCUCUGUUUAAAUGAACUAAUCCAGAGCUUGUAGCGAUUCCUCUACCUACUGGUAAUGUAUGCGAGAUUGGAGCCGAGGAGCAAGCAGUUAUAGGUAUACAAGGUAUGGAACCAUCUCUGUCUUAAAAGGAACGGAAAUGAGACAGAGCAUAGGAAUGACACGUGAUGUAAAACCAACUCCUACUCCAUUUAGGGAAUUCGCACUCGCUGUAACUGAACUUGAUGGGCGAGCGGAGCUCUCUUUACAGUCGGGGAUGAUAGGCGGACUAGGGAUAUUUUCAAGCUCUCUAGAUUCAGGGAUAUUAGAUAGAGGCUGGCAACUAAGGAGCUUCCCCUACAACGGCAAUGGUACUGCAGGAAAAGGCCUUAUUCAACAGCAAGCUUUCAAACUCAUUUGCUUUUGUCCGAGAAUCCACUUGCUCACCGGAAUGCUUACCCCUAUAGCUUAUUACUAGCUCGCUAGCAUCAAAUAUCCUUAUGGAAUUGUCAGUUUCAAAGGGGACAGGUAGGUACUGGCUAUGCAAAGAAAAUAGACCCUACUUAUUGACUGUACCAUAUUCUCUCGUCUGUGGAUCGCCAAAUACACUUAUACUCUAAUCUCAAGUCCAACCCUAAGGAGAGCAAAGGGAUGAAGCAGCAUCUAACCUUUCUUCUACUCUCGAUUUACAAGAGAAAGGAAAAAUGCCUACGACAGGAGGGGCUAAGCAAAGUAAGGGGAUGGUAAGAAAAACACCAAUAAGUCCAAAGAAAUGGCUCAACAAUGGCAGGUAGGAGGACAGCAAUUGGAACUAAAGCCUCAGGCAUAAAAAACAGAUUAGAUAUGAUAAGAGAAAAAACAGAUGAGAUAUGAUAAGGUAAUACGAGAGAAAUACUAGUCAAGUUAGUAUAAUAUACUUAGUAUAUCGUUAGCCCCUUUUCGCCUUAUGUUGAGUCAAUCAAAGACAGCUGAUAUGCGAUAUGACAGAAAAGAGUGUUUUCUUAAUUCGUUGAAGCCUGUAAGCAAACAUCAAAUCCUUGAGCCCGAUCAAAAGUUUCAUAUUUGGUUUAUGGAAGAACGGGAGAUCUUUUUUCAUAGCCUGUUAGAAUAGAAAAGCCGGAAAGCCUUAUAUCUUGAAAUGCAUUCAGAAAGUUGAUGAGAAAAUACAUGGAUGUUCUAGGGGGCGCACUUCUGACCCUAAAACCCCUUAAGGGAAGGGCGGUGACAACGGGUAGGAUAAAUCCAUUUAGGUUGUUUGGGCUCUAUAGGGAUUUUCUCUUUCUCCUCUUUGACAAGAGAUGCUUACUUCAAAUCGUAUUUUCUCACAUGGGCGACAAAGAUUGCUAAGAUCGGAUCGAGGAAUCGCUAAAAUCUAGAAAAAGAGGACUGACCCUCACGGGAAUUCCCUUCUUCAACUCAAUCUAAAGUGCAAAACUGUGACACGGCAUAUGGGCCGCUACCUCCCGGCUCUGAGACUGCUACGCUGCUAGGCUCUUUUUGAUUCUCUUAUUUUCUAAUAGAAUGUCCGAAGAGGAGUAGCCCACCGCACUUUCCAUCUUUUUCGAGAUCGUUCCCUUGGUCUUCCUCAGAAUUAUGUAGGCCAUCCGCCUAAUGGAGUGGGCUUAGUUGAGUCUCCUUACUCUUUUCAUUCAUGAGCUAGGAGGACUAUAAUCUAAGGGCGAUUCCAAUCCUUAGCUUAGAAAAGCGUCGGACGCCUUGUAGUCCUUGGUGAGCGGAUAGAAACCAGUCUCAAUAGAAAAGCGAUUCUUCUUAAUAGAAGUAGGAUAUGGAUCCGGAUCAGAGGAUAAAGUAAGCGACGAAGCUGGAGAGGAGGGCGAUCUUUCUAUUCUAGACAAAAUGCCAUAGAACAGGCGUCACGUGGGCAAGCAAGAUAGGGAGAAUUCUUCCUCAUUUGAUUAGUGGAACAGAGGUCACUCUCGAAUUGACUGAUUCCGAUUGCCCCCCGAGUUGUAGUCCAAGUUGUCAAUGUCCCGUUCUAGCUCAAAUGUUGUAUAUAUAGUUUAUUGACUUAACCGAGAUUCUGGCCUUCUCUUACCUUGUAGUGAAACUAAUCAAUAAGAAACACCGGGGCGUAACUAAACUAUGCACUAUUUGCCUUGCUUGACUUUGAUGAUGGCUGUACUUAAGAAAAGCCCCUUGUAGUGGUUGGUAGGUAAGACCAAGGAGCUGGAAACAGGACACUGAUUGUCCCGCUCUAGUUUAUGUAACUCACAUUUGAAAGGAUGCUUUCACGCUAGAAGGAUAGGAAGGGCGAUAGUAAGCAGCUUGGUAGGAAAGUGAGUUCUUCGGUUACUUCCAAUUAGUUUAGUUAGGUGCACUCAAUUCAACAACAAGCUUUUGCGCUAAGGCAAUCAGGAUAGAGAGGUUAUGUUCUUGUGCUCUAAUUUCUAAGGCUGUUGAUGCUGCUUUUACUUAAUUCGCUCUAGCUCCUCUAAGGCCAGUUCCGCUUCUUGUAUUGUCGACAACAGAAUCCGUGGUUUACACACAAAGUCAAAAGAAUGGCUUGUUCGUUCAGAAGAGUUCGACACGACAGAAUUGGAAUUGCAUCAUUUUCUCUAGCGAAUAGGGGAAAGUAUAGAGAGUCACCUCACCCACCUUCACGCGUGGCUCUAGCAAGGGAAGGGUAUAAAGCAAAAGUAGAAGGCAGCUCAAGGAGAAAGCACCAAGGGCAAGAAUUCUUUACAACAAAGUAUAGGGUUUGGUGUGCACUCUCAAUCUGAAUUUCCACGAGUGCUAGGUGAGUAAGGAGAAUGGCUUUGAAAGCUUACGUAAGCACUCCGCAACAAUAAGAAAUACAGGCCCGCGCAUAAGUAAGAAAUAAUUGAUUGUUUGUGACGCUCGAAAGAUGAAGUUCAAGCUGGAUCAGGUGAUUGAUUGGCUUUACGUCGUAGGUGGAGAGAGGUGAUUGUCCGUCCCGCUAGAGCUCCUUGUACACCAGAAUGGGCUUGUCCCGCUUGAGCUCAAAGUACUGAAGUGGAGUAGAGAACUGAUUAAGCUAGGUUAACUUCAGUAGAGUAUGUUUCUUUGGGUACGAGUGUUGAAGUAAGAGAAUCCGCUGGAGAAAGAUCAGAAUCAGAGGCUUCAAGUUCAUUCAUUCUAAGGACAUAAGCACUGUUGGAGAGUUUCCAUUUGUUUGGUACCUAUGAGCUACCUUAAACAGAGGUUAAACAACGAGAAAUGGGCCUUACGAAGCCUUUCUUUAACCGAGAAAUCAUCCUUAUGAAGCGCGGUGAAGUGGGGAAUUGCCUUAUAGUCCUGCACCAAGACUUGAUUCUUGCCCCAACUAACACUUCAUCUUGAUUUCGAUCCCUAGUAUAGAAAUAGUACUACCUACACGGGAAAGAAAAGCACUAUAAGUAGAAGCUCUAUGGCAAAUGUGAGACCUCUAUGGCAACAUAAAUCAAAGAAAUAUAUAUUAUAGGAAUCAUUGUAUUUGUAUAAUAGGGUAGAUCUCGCACAUUAGGUUGUAUACUAAGAGUAGGUCUUAUCUAGUGCAUUAAGAGAUAGAAGAGGGAACUAACCCUUUCAAAAGGAAGAAAUCACCUAUACGAAAACUGGACUUGCAACUCAUACAACACCCGUUAGGGCUUUAGUAACUGACUUGAACUGUCAACUCCCUUUCCUGGUAAGCUAAAGAAGUUAGGCAUUCAGAUCUGAUUGUAGUCAAGGAUGUUAGGCGCAGUCAAAGAAUUCAUGUAAUCUCUCCACUUAUAUAAGCUACAGGUCAACAACUCCCUUACGAGCUCGCAUUCAUUUUAGUGAAGAAUUGGAUUUCAUGGAAACUUCCCCACAUCUGAGGAAUACACCGUAACCUAUAGCGGUAAACUCCCUUACCUGAUACCUAAACAGCUUCAGAUGGAAUUGAUUCUUCGGCUUAUAAUACUUCCCUUGUUACUAGGGUUAUAUACUAAAUACUCCACUCUAUCCCCUUUACCUCAAACUAACUGGUCAUUCUGUAAUUCUGUAAUGAUGUAAUGAGAGCCCACCGAAAAUGGAGUACUAGGCGCAGAGCAGAGGUAAGCUCGCAAGGACAAGCAAGUCAGCCCAAUAGCAAGGGUUGGUGUUAGGGAGGCCGGGACUUCGUUUUCAAGAAGAGUCGGUCCUUUCGUUAGCUAGAGUUCAUUGACUUGGAGUUAGGUGACCCAGUAAUAUGUCUUUUACCUUAACAAGGAGCGUGAACGUGUGAUAUAGACAAUUUCUCGGGUUUCUCGAGCGGGACUCAUGAUUGCAUGGGUGAGAGAGAGGCCCUGAUUGGACCAGGCGUUACUGCCAAAAGUGCGUUUUUCCUAUAAUCAAUCAAUCCAAAUCCUGUUUAAAGACAGACUGAACACUCCCUAGAGUUAGCGCUCCAAGCCCUCGCCCGAUACCCGACACUUUCCAAGGAAGAAUCCUACUCAGUAUAUCAUCGGUAUGGAUUUCGUUCUCUGGUUCUUGCAGUAAAAAUAGGUGCCUGAAUAAAUAGAAUAGAAGAAGGCUUUCCGCUCCUUGUGCUUACCUCUGCACUGACCUGAGCUUGUGCUCGAAACCUAACCCGCUGCUCCACUUGUUUAGAUAAGCAAAGCCCUACACGAUUCAUAAGGAGACCCCCGGACUUCCAAUCUGAUAUCGCAGUUGACUGGGCUCACUACCUUUCCUUUCAUUCUUUAAUCGCAGGCACGUUAGUUGGUUUUCAACAAUCGGAUCUGAAUUCAACUAGCCAGUCGGGAUGCUGGUCUCCGCAACAAGACCUAAAGGAUCUAUAGUAAUAAUUUGAACAGUGCUUAUAAGAAUGAGCCCAAUGCCGGCAGGCAAACACAACUGCAAUAAAGAACUCCACAUAAUGUAUUUAUUAUGAGUUAUGUCAGCUGAUGUCUUCGUCAACUCUUAACUUCACCUUUCACUAGUGCUUCUAAGAAUUGAGCUCAUCGGUAAUAGAAUGAGAUACCAUCCACAAGAUCUUCGACUUUCAUAUAAGUAGUCGGAAUCAAACACGGAAGCAAGCCUUUCCCCCAUGCCCUUGAGCCUACCCUUCCUUACCGGCACUCUUAAACCUAGUAGGCCGAUAGAUAAAACGACUCCUCCUAUGAGAAUCAAACAAGGCAUCCGGGUCCACCCAGUAACGUAUAAUUUGAUGCGGAGGAGUUGUUUCCCCUAGCUAUAAAACUCACUAUCCUUGGUUAAGAUCUACCGCUACUUGCUUUUCACCUAACACUCUUUACUUUCGUUCUUAUACUCCUCGGUUGCACUCUUUACUUGAGGUUAGAGCCUUCCCUUCCCCUCUAUGAAUUGAAGUAUACUUCUCCUUGCUUUCCGGCUUAAGCGCUUUUUUCGAAUUCUAAUACUCGUUGAUACGAUCCAGUGCAUCCAGGUAAGGGAGCAGUCCAGUCAAUCUGUAUACUACUAAAGAACUAACCUAUUAGUCAAAGAAUUCCAGUGGAGUGGAUAAAGUCAGAAUCUUCACCCGAAAGCAGGAUCACUGUAACCAAGUCCAAGAACGAGUAGGUGUAUUAGGGAAUCCAAAUCACAGGUAAGAAUCAAAGAAAGGAGUAGGAACUAAAGUAGUGCCCCCCGACCUACAAGCUUGAAGCACGGAACUCGGGCUUAACUAACGGAUAGUCAGAAUUGGGCUAGCGCUAAUAAGACCUUAGCUCAAAACUAUGACUAUUGCUACAGCCUCUAAUACGGAUUCUUAGAAUCUGAAAUGAACUGUAGUAAACCAAGCCAAGCCCUCCCUUACAGCCUUCGAGACUUGUCUUACCGCCUAAGAGCCUGUCUUUACUGCUUUACAUGCUUUAACAGCGGAUCUGGAUCCUGACUUGAAUCCCUUAACUAGUGGUGUGCCUUUCAUCUCUUAUCUCACUAUAAUAAAGAAAUAGAGAAUACAGGUGUGAUCUAACGCACCUACUGGAUAACUAGAAUACUACUUAUAGGCGGUAGAGUAAGCCCUAGUUCCAGUAUAGGGAAUGCUAGUAAGAAGUAACAGAGUCAAAGGGUGUAUUAAGAAUCAAAGCCAAUAACGUGUCCUAUAAGGAUUGUUAACUACUAAUACAAAGAAUAGAACUAGUGAGGGCAAGCAUGAAACUCACACCAAUCAGAAUGCAACCAGUAAGUAGAAGCCUUAAAUGUCCCUAACUAGUCCAAGAAUGCAAAUAGUGAAACUAAGACUUCCACCUGUGCUGGGCAGAAUGGACUACUGUCUGCUAAGACUUCAACUAGAUUCCGACCCUUAUUAGAAUUUCUUCACCCCGUGCUCCUCAACCUGAUGAUGCUACAAGGGUGCUUGGGCUGCUGCUAGGUAUGCUCAGACUGGCACUGCUGCUACUGAUGCUCUGUAUUGGUAGCUAGGGUCUCAAUUGAUUGAGCUAGUAUUGGUAUGUAGCCUAGGGAGUUAGAAUCAAACCAGUGAACCAAAGAAUUCCAGAAUNNNNNNNNNNNNNNNNNNNNNNNNNNNNNNNNNNNNNNNNNNNNNNNNNNNNNNNNNNNNNNNNNNNNNNNNNNNNNNNNNNNNNNNNNNNNNNNNNNNNNNNNNNNNNNNNNNNNNNNNNNNNNNNNNNNNNNNNNNNNNNNNNNNNNNNNNNNNNNNNNNNNNNNNNNNNNNNNNNNNNNNNNNNNNNNNNNNNNNNNNNNNNNNNNNNNNNNNNNNNNNNNNNNNNNNNNNNNNNNNNNNNNNNNNNNNNNNNNNNNNNNNNNNNNNNNNNNNNNNNNNNNNNNNNNNNNNNNNNNNNNNNNNNNNNNNNNNNNNNNNNNNNNNNNNNNNNNNNNNNNNNNNNNNNNNNNNNNNNNNNNNNNNNNNNNNNNNNNNNNNNNNNNNNNNNNNNNNNNNNNNNNNNNNNNNNNNNNNNNNNNNNNNNNNNNNNNNNNNNNNNNNNNNNNNNNNNNNNNNNNNNNNNNNNNNNNNNNNNNNNNNNNNNNNNNNNNNNNNNNNNNNNNNNNNNNNNNNNNNNNNNNNNNNNNNNNNNNNGAAAGCUCUUCUCUUAAUAUAGGUUCCCAAUAAAUCCAUAGGUAAGGUUCCCAAUAAAUCAUGCCUUCAUUCCUUUCUCAUUUACUACUUAUUCAGUGAAGCGCUCCCCAUGCUGAUUGAUUGACUUCUUUUUCUAGGAAGAUCUCAACUCUUUCUUGUCCACCCUAUUCACUUCAUAUAUCUUCUUUUUUACCAACCACAGAUUAUUAUCCAUAUCAAGGCAAGCAACGGACAAACAACGCGAAGACACCAAGUAUAAGAAAUCACAUAUCAAUUAAUUCUAUCUUUAGAAAUGCUAUCUUUAGAAAUGGAAUCUAUCCCAGAGCUCCCGUAAGCUGAAGAAGGCUUAUUUUGCACUCAAUGAAAUUGAAGCUUACUUGCGCACUGCUUCUAUUGUGGAUGACAACUAAGGUAAAGCACCAACCUAUCUCUACUAGGGAAAGCGGAAACAUUACCCUUUACCUCAGACAGGAGUACCGAUACUGACUUCAAGUAUUCAUUCAUAUCUCCCCACUUAAGAAGAACAGGUAGGCGGGAAAGACAGAUUGGGUUUUCUCUAAUAAGGGAUUGAAGUAAGUAUUGCCAGUCCCAACAAGACGUUCUGCGCGUAAAGUCACCUCGCAUCCCUUUACUCUAAACUGUAUUCAGUAAAUUAAGUGUUAGAAGUCAAGUAAUCAAAUUAGAUGAUAGGAACUACAACAAAUAUCAAUUCUUAACAACACUCUAAGACCGACACGUAAGCACUUAUGCUAACACACCCCGCUCCGCCAGUGGGCAAUAAGCUCUUGCUCCCUUACUUUUCUUCUUCCUUCUGAAUCGCUAAGUAACACAUCUUCUCAAAUUGGAUGAAAGAACAAUGCAUGAAUUUUCCAGACCAUCUCCUCGUGGGGCUAUCUUAACAUAACUUUCUUAAUUCAAUACAAAAUCCCAAUUAGUCGCAUAGUUUUUCUAGUAUAGAAGGAUUGAGUAACUAAACAGCGAAACACUACUUACUAGCUCUGCCACUCUAGAGAAAUAAUAGUUUCUAGAUAGAUACUUAUAGAAUACAGUAAUAGUUGAUAGAUAGAUAGAAUACAGUCAUUUUGGAUAGACAGAUACUUAUAGAAUACAGUAACAAAACAAUGCUUUGCCUCUUUUUCGAACUCCCCGGGUGCAACUCAUUCAUUUGACUGAACUGCUUGGCUUGCAACAUUUCAUCCUAGCGACCCUUGCUUCUUCUGCUAACUCACUACUUUAAUAACUUGCUUUCCGGCGUACCACAACAGGAUCUAUUAUUCGCCUUCUAACAUAAACCCACUUUUUCACUAACGCCCGAACUCAAAUAAGCUUCUGCUUUAUCUUCUUCCAGCUUCGUUAGCGCAAGUCCUGUUUGUUUUCUUACCCGAGAUCAUAUAGCACUCAAAAAUAUGACCUCCUAUUCUAUUGGUUAGCUAGUUUCACAACAGCCUUUACUGUCUCAAUGAGCUUCCCCCUUAUUGAUAGCUCUCCAGCAAUGGAAUAUAAUGAUACUCUCAUGCCACUUGCCUGAUGUCAAAAGAGUGUUGGAUUGAAAAAGGGUAAAUCCACUCGCAUCUUCACUAUUAACUCGCAUCUUAACAAUUUGAUAGGUCCUAAGGCAGUUUCGUUUUUCUUUGAUGCUUACGUUGGGCUGGGUGCAACCCCAUAAUCAAUGCUCAUAUAAAGUCAGGGCAAUCCGUUGAGGGUUUUCAAAGUUCCUCUGGUCGACCACUACUCUACUGGGUAAAGCCAAUAACCUACACAACACUUUAAACGUACUCGAACCUAGACUUCACUCAAAACACACUUCUUAUCCAACUCGAUCUUCAUCAGGCAAACCCUAACGGCUGAAACAGCAUUUCUCAGAAUUCCUUAUGCUUGAAAUGAAAGCGGAUUGGUCACUUUUCCACUGACUUCCGCUUACAGCCUUGACGGAUCCUACCUAGGCUAGGCUAGGCCUAACAUCGGAUGAAAGAGUUAACUUACUCAGAUUCUUCUUCUGGAAUGAGGGAUGAAUGAGUUCAUGAGCUUGACUAAAUGGAGUAAGGGCUGGCUUCCUUAGCUAAUGCGCAGGUUUAGACCAUAGCAUCAGCAGCUUUCCUUUAGUGUUUUUCUGGAUAAACCACAAUGGAUAGGCGGUCAAAAGAAGGGCCCUUACUAUUAAUUCGGAACGAGGCAAGUGCUCUUCUUGAAUGCACCGGCUGAUGAGUCGAGUCGUUGAAGCAGAAAGCUCAAUUCAAAGAUAGGCGCUAUAAGGAGUUAGACUUAGACCCUUUCUUUAUCUAUGAAAGACCAGUUUAGAGGGAAGCAAGCCUAUGACAGAGCGUACAAGCCGAAAGAUGAAACCAAGCCUACAAAAGCUAGCAGGCAUAAGCACUAAUUAGGUCCCUAAUAAGGCCCAGCAAUGCAUGUUGAUAUAGUCCACUGGAACGAACUCACAACUCAAUGGGGAAAUUGGCUUAUAGCACGACUCGAAGAAAAGAGGUGUAUUUAUAAGAACAACAAUUCUCGAGCGGCCCAGCAACGACAAGUGAAACUUCACACAGCCAGGAAGGGUUGAACAAAUCUCCGCGCUUCAUCGCGGAUGGGGGCAUUAAGGAGUAGUCACCGCUCGUCCGCGGGGCUCUUUUAUGGUAACUACUAUGGACGAGUGUACAAUGUCAAAGUGUGCAUUUGCAUUCCGCGGUUUCACCAACUCGCUCUUGUCCAGUAGGCCCAACGAACGAAUCGAAUUCCAAUGGAUUGAUCACAGGGACCUCUGCGAUCUAAAGCUUCGACCGAGAAAGGGAAGUUCUGAACGACCCGACGAUGCCACGCGCAACUACCUGAAGUGUGUAGUCAUUGAGCCCGGCCCUUAACGUCCUCCCCACUCAGAGUCAGACCUUUUGAUCAUGUCGUUGCUGUGCCGCAGGGCGCCCCUUUAGUUCCUUUACUCAUGAUCUCUCUCUUUAGUAGGUGAUGAUCUUACUCUGCAGAGAGGUGUGGCUUCUCCUGAAUGCCAAGAAAGACCAGUAUUGGCCCUUUAGCAAGCCCUUGCAGCCAUCUCACAUUAAGUCACCUAUGCUUCCGAGAGUAGCAUAAGAUACUUGUGAUGGAAUUUCGCCUUAAUGAAUGCGAGAGAUUCAUCCAAAAACCAAACCGGAUGACUAUAUGUUUCAGCAGAUCAUAAGCGAGCCUGCGCUAGCCUUGCAAUCAUUCAUCAACUUCAAGGCGAGUUCGAAAGCUUUACAAUUGACUUAAGGAGAUCUCUCUCUUUCUCUAGAUCUCUUUGGAGAGCCCUUCUUUUAGCUCUUUCUUCGGAGUAGACGGACUAGGAGUUACCGAUUCCGGACUCAACAACUAAACAAGUCCUGAGCAAUGUCCCUAUGCAAUGUUCCUGUCUUGAGGCUACUUUGCCUGGUUGUUUUACUUAGUCUUUCUUUCCUUGACAAGAGAACAGCCCUUAGGUUAGGGGCGGAAAGAUCACAUGUUUUUUCACACUGUUUUAUUAGGAUUCCUUCUGAGCCGGUAAACCUACAACUAUACGAACAGUCCUCUACAUUUCGGCCAAGGAUGGCAAAUCAAACAACUUGAUGUCCUUUCACUUACGACACUCAUUUUCAUGAAUGACACUGAGUAAAGAGCCUAAUCGACGACUAUAAGGUCAUUGGAAAAAGCGAUUCUUUAGGCACGAUACGAUUCUUCCUCAUAAUAAGACUCCACCAUGAAAGGCUGAGGAUAGUCUCCCUACUGGAAGGCUCCUAUAUGCAAAAAUAUAUGUGACUGCGACAGAACCGGCUGGAAGUCCUGUCUGCUGGGUCCAGCACUCUUCUACAAUUCAUCUACAGUCUAAGACCAGCAGCCGACCAACCUCUUUUUUGAGAAACGUAGCAUAGUCGCUUCCGGUGAAAGAGGUGCUCCUGUCUUUGGAAGAUACUUUCUUAGAGCCCAGCCCACAUAGUGAGUGGUUUCCCGGACCAUGAAAGUCUCUCUAAAGCUUGCAUAGUCGCUUCCGUCUUUGGAAAGCAGCACAGUUGCUCCCUUGGGAUAUUUGAUGAUGAAAGCAAAGUUCCCAGCUGCCGAUUGAUGUUUCACUCGUGUAUAAUCCAUCUGUUUGACUCAAUGAAUUGCUGGCUUCCUAUCAACUCGAAUAGAUUGAAUCUUGGCAGAGUUAGUGACCCACUUUAUAACCAUCUGCCUAUACGGGGCAAAGUAAUCACUUGAAAGGUUUCGGAAGAAAUCCCUACUUGGGAGCUAAGCUUGGAUCAGAGGUGGCUUUACUCUUAAGAAAUUCGAUUUCAUAUUUGUGCUGCCGCUCUAACUUCUAUUGAUAGACCCUUCGUGGAGAGAGCCAUUAUUGGGCAUAUAGAAAUCAGUACUGUUCUGUGCCCCGACUACGUCCUCUUUUUUGUACCAAAAGGCCGACACUAACAGAGCAGGGGCCCACUAUCAAAUCUAGGAGUUACCGGGGGGCUAGGAAAGGGGAAAGUCAGGAAUAACACAUGAGCGACGGGCGAAGAGCAGGGAGAUCGCCUUCGGCCCAUAGAGAAAAGUAUCAAACCAGAAAAAGAGAAAGCAGCUUGAGGUGAGUAUGGGAGGCAAAGCUGGAUCUCAUGAGUCAGUGCGACCAUGCCCGGGUCCCGAUUCCUGACACUGAGCUAACUUUCAUUGAAAUAGGGGCUGACGUCAGCGACACGGAGGAAAGCUAAUGCGAUUUGGAUAAUCAUGUUGCGAGGAACGGGAUGCGACUAUCUGUUUCCUUUGCCCAAAAGCCUUCUGCAACAACAUAAAUGGCACGUGAUAAGAUCUGCUGCAAGGAUACGCCAGGACAAAGUAGCGGCAGGGAUAAAGAUUCCAAAACUUCUUCUAUUGACAGAAGAUAUGGGAAAAAGCGGAUGAGAUGGGCAAGUCAAGUUUUCGUCCUGUUUCAUAAGAUAAGAUAAGGGGCCGAGCAACUGGUCUUUGCCCAGCUAUAAUUGCACAAUUUAUAAAGAAUGCUCUCAGCUGUAUUGUAUUCAAAGCCAUGAAGAAGAUCUUCUGGACCUUAACUCUGUACCAUUGGAUGCCAGAGUGUAGGAUUUUAUUGAGUAAGAGGAUCAAGGUGUUUUUGGUAACCGGAGCGAAAACUCUAAUUGAAGAUACUUACAUGGGGGUAAACGAAGCCCCGAGCCCACCUCUGACUCUAUAGGCGAUUCAACACUCUCCCUAAUGGAGGGAACAGUAUAAAAAUGAAAGAAGAACUUGGAAUGGUGCUUGCUAGGAAUGAAGCAAAGAUACUUAAUAAGAAAAUGUCUGAGGUAUUUGAUGGAUCCGUUGCUAAGCCAAAGACUCGAACAGUAUCAUUGGCUGCUAUGAUUGGAGCUGUGAUAUUAGCUAUGGCGUUAGGUUAAUCAGUAACAAUAAGGGAAUUGUGCUCUAAUUUAUGCAGUUAUUUAGGCUACAGCUAUUCAUAGUUUAUUGUCAACUUCGUAGAUAGAGGAAAGAAGGGAGAGUGGAGUUGCUUAGAAUGACACUUAAUAAACAGCAACUCAUUCAUUUGCUCAAAUCACCACCAUUACCAAACCCACUUCGUUAACCUUCUCCAUUUUUUCUACCUGGGAGUCGGAUACUUCCUUUGCAACUUACAUCCUCUUUUCCACGCUACACUUUCGAAGCUUUCCUCUCCGCGGAUCUAAGCGUAGAAUCUAAGAGAGAAUUUCACGGGGAUAUAAUACUAUUCUGCAUAUCGGUCUCCCAAAGCCUAUAUUGUUGGUUUGGAGUUGAACACAGCUGAUAGCAGGAUGAAGCAGCAAUGCAGCUUGCGAGAGGCCGCUUGCUCCUUUGUCCACUCUAUUUAGCAUGGUCCUACAUUGAAUGGAUUGGUGGGAACAAUCCCCUGAUCAUCAUCACCAUGAUUCUAUUGUUACCACUUAUAAAAGAAAGAUGAUAACUUCGCUGUUGGAAGUCUGUUAUAAUUGGAGCUGGGAGGGGGCCCCUCGGAGAAAGAGAUCCAUCUUUGAGCUUACUCGGUGGUCUAGCUCUGCUAAAGUAGUGAUAGGUAAGGUCCCUCGGAGCGAAGUGGGUCGGCUCUUUACCUAUAAUAUAGAGCUGGGGAAUCUUUCUAAAGAGGGGAGGGGAUUCUUGAAGAGUGGAUUCGUGAACAACUGACUUUCUUCCACUUAUUAAUCCCUCUGAGCUUGCAAUUGAUCCUUCCAUUUCUGCUCUCGCUUAACUGAUUGAAUACGAGGCCGCUAAGGAAGAGCUUUUUAUGGUUGUCCUACUCGGGGAUAUAAAUUGGAUUGAUUAAGGCAUUCUUGUUGAAGCAUAAAUGUCCACCCGUAAAGACCAGUGACUGCUACUCACGAGAUGGCAAAUGGUUGAAAGUCCAAAAGUCAAGCGGAAAAUCCAGUAUGAAAGGAACUCAGACAAAAGGCAGCCACUCAGAGGUGAAGCAAAGCACGCCCUUCAGAUUCAUGUGCACAAUUGCUUUCCGCUAUGUAACAAAGCUUCCGACAACUGGGCCUAACAACAAGGGACUAAGCGCGAGUUCUGCUGUACGAUUCUAUUACUAUGGAUGCCUCCUCCUCUUCGCCAAUCGGUCAAAGCUCAAUCCCAACUCUAUCACUAAGAAAACACGUAUUCAUUCGUGAAAGAAACCCCUCCCUCAGUUGAAGACAGAAAAGAAAAUCAAGCAUUCGCCUAUUUACAGACAAGGCAAGCAGAGCGAAUAAAGAAAGAUUUACAUGUCAGCAAUCAGGCACAACAUUAAUUCUGUCUCUUUCUUUCUCUUUGCACGGAAAUAGCCUCUUGACUGUUGAGGUGGUUAAUCAAAUGAGAAUAGUAGAAGAAUGAGAAUAGUAGAAGAAUCGGACAUGGAAUGCGCUCUUAUCGGCGUAAAGAAAGAAGGAGUCUUGGUUAAGCCAGAACUUUGCCAGCUUUAAGUGCAGUUCCUUGCCUUCCCCAUUCUUUCGAAGUUGCUAGUACUCUCUCUCUCCUUUGCUCCAAGGGCGGGAUAAUAUAAGCCAUAAUAUAAGCCGGGAUACUUUGCUCCAAGGACGGUCUAAUAAGAAAGACGAAUAAGAUAUUCAGAUGUUUCUUAUCAAGUCAGAAAUAGGGUUGAAGGGUUGUGUUGGGCAUAGAGAAAAUGGUCAGAGGAGAGAGAGCUCGGUUCAACAAGUGGAGGUCGAGGCCGAAAGGAAGCAUAUUCCUAUACGCCGCUAAACUCACCUUGCUUCGCUCGUGUCUCCUUAGCACUCACUGUUAAUCGAGUCUUCCAUGCCCAACGACCUCGUGGAGUUCACUCCUUCCCUCCUCAUCGAUGACGCUGCCUUCCCUCUCUAUCCCUAUAUUCCAGUACAACGGCGGAAUCGUGUAUAGGGAACUCGACUAGCUACCUACCUAACCUAAUUUGAACCGGGAUCAAUGAUUGAUCUUAGUGAAACAUCUGACCCUCCACGACUUGGAGCCAGAUCCUCCUAAGAACUUAACAGAGCGUACCACACUGAGAUAGGAAACCGUCUAAGACCGGAAGAGCUAAGAUCGAGCAAGAAUGAAAGCUUGUUUCUUCCGGCGGCGCAGAUCGAGAAGCAUGUAUCUGAUCUCCCCACGAAACUGGCCGCCUUGAACCAUUCUCCUAACGUCCGCGACGGAGCUGAUCUACGCCUCUGCCUCUGCUUACCUUGCUUGCUACUAUCUUCUGAGAAGACAAUAAGACAAACAGCACAGACUUCCCCCCUUCACCAACAAUUGUAGUAAGUAAGUAGUCCCGUAUGACAUUCUUAAAACAUAUUAAUAUCUGGGCACUUUAGGAGGUCAAUCUUCCGUGUUUGAAGCUACUGCUAAAGUACGGACCCUCAUCUUUCUUAAAAGGAUAGGCAAUUGAGCGAGAAUAGGGCAAUAGCGAUAGACACAGGAACGGAAAUAGACUCAUUAUUUCCAUAGAGAAGAAUUCUAGCACAAAACCACCUUUUCUGUAACAGCGUAUUCUGUGAUUAACUGUCACAACCCAUUAAAAGAGCUUCUUCUUAUUCCAUGCUAGCUAUGACCUAGCCCCCAAUAGAAGAAAGGCUUAGAAUCAAUGCUUUGACCGGUAAUGCCCCUUCUCUCUCAUAGCCCUGCCCUGCCCUCGUGGGAAUCUCAGAUGUUAGAAAAUCCUCCAAGGCUUCUUCCCCAAGAGCUCUGCUAACACUGGCUAAUGACCUCGCUCGAGCUGAAACAAUGGAAUUCGCCGAGGGGGUUCUUUCACUUAUGAAAAGGUGGUUGAGAUAGAUGGAGCCCUGAACGGAAGUUCCUUCGCGACCUUUCCCUCUACCCUUGGAACAAAUUAAUAGGCGCUUCCAUUGCGAGAACCUUUCAUCCGAAUCACAAACGAAUUGGAAGCAUUUCUUUGAACAGCUGAAAAGCAUUCCACCUCGGAUGAGGAGUCGUUUCCAAAAUAGAAGUCAAGUCAACUGAUUCAAGUUAGUCCAAGCAUUUACUAAUACAAAUAAGGGCAAGAAAGCCUUUGAAACGAGUGAAAAUCUCACUAAAUGGUGAAUUGGUUCAUUUCCAUUGAAGAAUCAUACGCUGGUUGAGAAUAAGCAGCAGGUGUAAGGAGGGAUGGCACUUAGGAAAGGAAAUUGAAGCCAGUUAAUCCAAUAAGAUAAGAAGAGGCAUAUGCAAGACCAGAAGAGGUUGAACAUGAAUCUCUAUAAACUGUAUCGAAAAAAGGGACGUCUAUUAAGGAAAUCGGAUUGAUGCAAAAAUCCACAAUGUUCGGGAGGUUUGGUGAGAGGGGUGGUCUCGGAUAUGGCUCAGAGUACUGCCUCGCUUAGUCCAGCUGAGCUCCAUUAUUGAGACAACCAUAGAGUAAAGGUACAAAAUACAGAGAAAAAGAGUGUAUGCGAGUAAGUGAGAAAGCUUGAGCAUAUUCUUUUCCGUUUACUCACUCAUUUGAGCUCUUCCUGUCGAUCAGUGCGACUCCAACACAUACUGAGAGAGCAGAGCGUCCCUUAUUUGCGUAGUAGCAAGGCUUUCUUUCGUGAGCUAGCCUUGUGUGUUUGCUUCCUCCUUUCCUAUCUGUUUCGGUAAAUGCCUGGCUAUUAAUAAAGCUAGCGUGGUAACGAGACAGUGAGUGAAUCGGUUAACGAGACUGAGGAAGAUGCCUAGCUAGUUUUGAACCAGAGCAGGGAAGUUAUUUAGCUAAAUAGGAAGUUAAGCCCUAGAUUAGCAAAGAGCUCUAUCCGUUCUAUCCAAUAGACUAUGAAGUGAAAAGGCCAGUAGGAAGAAGGUCCAAUUCAAGACAUGCGAAGUAAGUGAAACUCCCGUUCCAAAGUGACCAUAAGGAAGUGGAAAUAAAUAGGAUAACCAGAUUCCUGCCGUUGUUUAUUGGCUGUUAGGUCGGUGAAACUUUCCCUGUAGCUAAAGUCAAGCCAGUAGUUAGAGUUCUAUGUAGACCGGAUGGGACCUAACUCACUAUCUAUGUUCGUACCUCCCAAAAGUUGACCCUCAGUCCGAGUUAGCUCUUAUAGUUCAGGACAGUAUAGGACCCUUAGGGCUUUGGAAGCGAGCAACCAACCCGGCAGAAGUGGAUAGGAAGUUUAUGACAAAGGUAGCUUAGCUAAGUAAGAGUCCGUAAGUCAACUGAUCAGGUGUAGCGAUAGAGCGGUUUAGUUGACUCUUUCUCGAUGCUUUUCAUAGCGUAGUAAAGUACCCGACCCAAGGGAAGAAGUCCACUUCCCAUACUAGGAAUUCCCAGAUGAUUUGGCAAAAAAGAACCCAAUAGUAUGAGAACCUUAAACACUCGGAGUUCUGUCUUUAUUCAACAGUAAUAAAGGUUAUUAGCCUAACGGUGCUUUUUAUUACCUUAUAGCCUUUCGUAAAAGCAAGCACCUAAAAGAUGCAAUUCCUUUCGAAAUAGGGGCUUCCUAUAUCACCUCGAACAAGAAAUCGAUCUCCCUUGAAAAACACUAAGAGUUCCGAAUCGAAAAAGUAAACCGAACUUGAAGGAAGUUCUUAUCCUAGAAAGAGUAACCGAGUGACAAAAAAACCGGGCCAAGGAACUACUGUUGUCCAUGUAAGGGCUCGAGCUAUAGGGGGAGGUAGGGAAGGCAAGCUUAUAGACUGCCUUCAAUCCCUGUGCGGGCAAGCUUAUAUACUUACUUCCAUUCGAGUUCAUUCCUGUUCGCUAGUGAUCUAUCUCUUAUUAUGAUAACAUGAAAUUAUGAUAACAUGAAAUCCUAGGCUAGGUACGAAUACGAAAUAGAGAGACUAGGCUAGGUACGAAUACGAAAUAGAGAGAAAAGAUCCUAGGUAGUAAAUAGAGAGAAAAUCACCAGUAUAGUUAGGGAAGGGAAGAGUCAAUUGGGCCACAAGCAACUACAUUUCCAUCUUCGGCUUCCUUACCUCCAUCUAAUCCUCUUGGAAUUUCAUAUCUAUCUUAUCGAGCAUAUGGUAAAGAAACCCGUAAAGACAUAGCUUGCCUCUCUAACAGGCAAUGAAUAAGCUUACUUGCGCACUGCUGAUUGAUCUCAAUGAUUACACUCACUGCUUUGUUACCGUAGAGCUUACUUUAUACAGUUCCGACGCAUCUUGAUACGACAACACUCGCACCCCUAAGAUACUUGUUUGAAACUAGAGGAUAUCGCUACGGGGGCAUACCAAUAUAUAAAUACGAAAUUCCAUCGUUUGUUUUUUGGAUGACACUUGCGUGAUACUAAACCCUGUAGUGGGACUUAACCGCUGAUUCUAUAUACUCAAUUCAAAACUACAACCAACUUGAAACCAUACUCCACUUCACCAUAAAGAAGGAAGAUGACCCCUGCGUCUAUACCCUUAACCGAGCUCAGCUUCAGAGCCUGAUCCGUAUUCCUCACCUGCUAGUAAAGUUGGAGCUAGGGUAGGAAGUACUGUUUUCAUCGCCAUAGUGCUUACAUGAGUAUUUGUAAGCGGAUAUAUAAAUAGUAGGAUCAAGAUAAGAUAGAGAGUCAGUAGACCUAGCACCGGUCAUAAUUAUUGUAAGAAUUCUUUAAGCUUAUUUCAGGUAAUGGUUUUGAUGCGAGGGCAGCGUCAGCUGCGAUGCCUUGAGUGGAGUCUCCUUAAGUUCUAGGUAUAGUAUCUAUCUAGUCUAGGUGUUGGCGCAGCUGCAAACGAUUCUUCGAGUGAGAAGUAAAGAGUGGAAUCUUUCUUAGUUGGCAACGAGUCUCUUUAUGUUGCGUCCUGUUCCACUUUCAUCGUAUAUUAUAUAGAAUAAGAGGUGCAGCUCAGUUAGCGCAAGGACUAGUUUCAUUGAAGAGUUAGAAAGAACUUCGCAGUCAGCAUAAAGACAAAAAAAGAAA